AAAAAAAAAAAAAGUAAAAAACAAAAAAUAUCCCUUGACUUUAGGAAAAAAAAAAAGACCCUAAGGACUAUGCAAUAAUAACACUUUAUAAAAAUUCCAAAACACUCCUAAUUGUGUGUUAAAUCAUUUGGUUUUUAAAAGGCAAAAUAGUCAUCUGCACUUGUUUACAAUCCAUAAUAAAAACAUUAAGUAUAAUUAGUGUUAUAUAUAAUAUUAAUUAAACUAAAUUUUUAACAUAUUUUUAUAUCAAUUUGAUACAUAUAAAAAAAUAAUUUUUUGCAAGUAUGAAUUUUAAAUUUUAAUAAUUGAUGAUUUUUUUUUCGAGCAAUAAACCUAGUGCUUGGAAUGGAACAUAUAUUUUUACAUUAUCAACACUAAUUGUACAAGUACACCAUGCAAAUCACACUGGAAAAAAAAUUCAUGCUAACACUAUGCGAAAUCAAAGAUUAGUUAAUGUACUGGUCAGAUUUUAAGUUUGUUUUUUAAUGUUUAUGAGUUCGAGUCCUUUUAAGGUCACUGAAGACUUACAUGAUCGUUAACUUUAGAAUCCGCGAGAUUAGUUGAAGUACACAUAAGCUGACCCUAACACCCACAUUAAUAAAAAAAAUUAGUUAAUAUACAUGUUAUUGUUUUCAUAAAUUGUGCUUAAAUAAUUAGUUGUAGAAAGUGAUUAUGUUUUUUUUUAUAUAAAAAUAUAUUAGUAUUAUAAUACGUGUUAAUAGAAUUCUAAGUUAAUUUAAUGUAUUAUAUAACACGAGAAGAAAUCAAACAUUAUAAAUACAUUUUUUAUUUGCAUAAUUUUUUUAAUUAAGUAGUGAAAGAAUGUUAUCUACAUUUAAUAAAAUAAAUUAAAAAUAAUAUAUGAACUUAUAAAUUAAAAAAAAAAAUACUCAAUAGAGACUUAAAAUAAAAAAAAAAUUGAUGAUUGAAAUCGGUAAAGGGGGUUGAAACGAAAUGCUGAAAUUUUUAUUAGGAUAUGAAAAUUUGGUAAAAAGUUUUUUUUUUUUUUUGUUGAAUUGAGUUAGGCCAAGAGGGUUGGAUAGACCUACCAUUUAUUUGUUAGGGAAAGGCACCGCACCGCCAAUGACCAUUGACAUGCUGCCUUGCCUUGUCCGUCAACUCAUCCCCGUGACACGUUGCCGCUGUAUCCACCGCCGAUGUUUAUCUAGCAGAAGCAAUCAGAAAUGGAUUGAAAAACAAAUUAUUCCUCUACAGUUUCCAUCCUACAAUCCAUCAAAUUCACUAUUAUACCCUCUCCGCUAUGUUAAUGACAAUACCACCCUUGACAAACAUCUUAAACCCUAUAACUUGGAUUGUGUUUGAUGUCGCGCUAUAAUUGUAUUUUUAAAAAUUAUUUUGUUUUAAAUUAUUUCAAUAUACUAUUUUUAAAAAUAAUUUUGUUAUUUUAAAAAUAUUAUUUUAAUAUAUUUAUUAAAAAAACAUUUCUAAACAGUCACUUCAGCAAUAUAUCUUUCAAGAGCCCUCGCUCUGAAUCUCUCUUAAACCCUAGCUGCUUCCCUCCUUUCACUCUCCCAAAACUAAAACCCUUUCCCUCUUUUCUUCUUUGAAGGUAUAAUCCUUACCCUCUUUGCUUAAGCCCCAGUUUAUAGCUCAACUCUUUUUGUUUCUCUUUGUCUUGAGACUUUAUGUUUUCUUGUAUUUGACUGUUUGAUGCUGGUGUUUUUUGUAAAAAAGUUAUGUUUUUAAUGAUGUUUUAUGGAUCAUACAUGGUUUGUUUUUGUUUAAGUUUCGUUCUUUCUGCCUUAUCUCUGAUAUUGUUUUGCUGUUUACUAAACUGGGUUUGUUGGGUUGUAUUCUUAAAAAGGUUUUGUUUUGAGAUUUGGUUUGCGUAUUUUUGUUUUGGGUUAUGUUUUGUUUGCCACGCGAUUGACUCUUUGUAUUUCCUUAAGCCCCAGUUUAUAGAUGAACUCUUUUUGUUUCCCUUUCUCGUGAGACCAUGUUUCCUUGUAUUUGAUGUUUGAUGCUGGUGUUUUAUGUAAAAAGUUUUUUUUUUAUGGUGUUUUAUGGAUCACACAUAGAUUGUUUUUGUUUCAGUAAAGUUUCGUUCUUUCUUUCUUAAUCUCUGAUAUUGUUUGGUUGUGUACUAAACUGGGUUUGUUGGUUUGUCUUCUUAAAGGGUCUUGUUUUGAUAUUUGGUUUGUGUUUUUUGGUUUUGGGUUAUGUUUUAUUUGCCACGUGAUUGAUUCUGUCUUGUUUAUAAGAUUUUCUUCUCUGUUUGAAGGUUAAUUUAUUUUUCAGAUUAUUAUUGAUAGCCUUUUAGAGUGUUUUUUUUUUCUUCUUAACUUGGGCUGCGUAUGGAGUGUGAAUGGUGUGAGUGCAGGCUCAACUAAUCUUUUAGAGUUUUUUUUUUGGUUUUCUGAGUGAUUUUUGUGUUCUGAAUAAUCCAUUUUGUUCUUGUCAAUGUUUUCAGUUUGUGUUUUUUUAUUCGAAGUUAGCUUCUUGAUCUCUUAAUAAACAAUGAAUUUGAAAAUCGACCCCAUUAUUUACUGUGGCUUUGAGAUAUUGCAUGAUUGUGAAUUGGUUUACUAUGUUUUGAGUUUGUUUGGGUUGAAUAUUGUUAAUGCUUGAUACUGAUGCUGUGAUAUCCCUGUGGUGUAGUCCAUAAUUGAAAUGGCAUUCUUUAACAAGCUCGGGAGCCUAGCGAGGCAGUCAAUUUCCCAGAAGGGGCAAGUUCCAAUGGUGUCCAUGUUGAACUCUAUUCGCUGCAUGUCUUCAUCCAAGCUUUUCAUUGGAGGUACUGAUUAAUUGCUGUUUGAAUGCUACAAGUGGUAUUGAUGAAUACAUGAUUUUUGGAUGAUACAAGUUCAUGUGUGUUUUGCAUUAAUGCUCUGCUGUUGUCUAUCUUGUCUGUGUUUUAGGGCUUCCAUGGUCAACUGAUGACCAAACCCUUAAAGAUGCAUUUUCUGGCUUUGGGGAAGUGACAGAGGGUAAGUUUGAUCAUGUGUAGUUGAACCAGUUAUAUAGCAAAGGGUUCUUUUAUUAAAUCUCGUUGUUGAAUCAAACAUGAGCACAAUAUUUUUCUCUGGGGCUGUUAAAUGAUGACUGAGACUGGUGGAUUAUAUUUUCAGUUGAUGUCUUUGAAACUAAACUUUGGCAUUUGGAUUUGUUGGUAUUUGAUUUGGUGGUUUGGAUACUACAAUUUGUGAGGUUUAUCUUUAAUGCGGCAAUUGCUGAUUACUGCUUGUCCAUGUAUGGAGUGACAAGUGCUAAUAGCUUCUUGUAAUUGUCAUCUAAUAACAUGUGGGUUUUGCUUUAGUUCUUAGAUGUGAAUUGGUGUUAAUGUAUUUUUACAUGUGAAAUGACAGUGGUCCGGUUCUGUUCAAUUAUUAGGUUUCAAAAUUAAUAUGUUAUUUUCCAUGUCAAAUUUUUCCUGAUCUGAUUCUGCUUUGACAAUUUCAGAAAGAUAAGUGUUAUUUUUAAUGACAGUAAUUGUGAGUUUAGUGUGGUAGCUGUUGCUAAACGUUCUUUACUUGGCUGGGUGGUGCUGUCAAUGUUGGGAUUCACAAUCUGGUUCUGUUUUACAGCAAGGGUUAUCAUGGAUAGAGAGACCGGGAGGUCUCGUGGAUUUGGGUUUGUUCAUUACGACAGCGUUGAAAAUGCCAGCGAAGCACUUUCAGCAAUGGAUGGCCAGGUCAGAAAUAGAAUGUUUUUGAGGGAGUUGAAUGCUCUGAUUCCUGAAUUAUAUACUGACUGACACAUGCUGAUGUUGCAGAAUUUGGGAGGAAGAACUGUUCGAGUGAGCUUUGCCGAGGAAAGGAGACCACCACAAUCCUACAAUGACAAUCACCAAGGGAGUCCACCACAAUCCUACAAUGACAAUCACCAAGGGAGUCGAGGUUUUGAUAAUUAAAGUGGAUGGAUUACAGCUUUAUGCGCUACUAACGCCCUAAAUGGCCUUUCUUCUGUAGCUAGUUGGUUCUAGUCGGAAUAGAGAUUGCAUUUUUAUUUUUCUUGAAUGUUUCUAUAACUUAUGAAAUUAUGUUGUGAUUUUGGCACUUGUGUGCUGGUUACUUAGUUUUUCUGACUGGGUAAAUUCCAUCAUGCUGGAUGAUGGAGGUACAGUUAACGUUUUCAUUAUUAUGGAAGCAUAUUGAUCGGAAGUGUUAUAAUGCACGGGGAAUUUGCAUGAUAUGGUCUGCAAAUCAGUGGGGACUAUUAAGCAAUGAAAAAACUCCCCACUAAUCCAUCGAUCAUGGGUAUAAUAUUGAAAAAACCUCAUAGAAAAAGGAAUUGAAAAAAUAAAAGCAUAAAAGUCAAUUUUUAUUUUAUUAAAUCUUGUAAGGGUAAAAUAAUAAUAAUAAAAAAAACCCUCAAAGAUUCGGCUUUGCAAGCCCAUGGCCCCAUUGUGACAGAUUAGGAGACCGAUGAAACGAUAUCUAAUCUUUGUUUUGAUGAACCACCAAGCCUGGUAAAAUAUAGUGCGAACAACUCUGAGAGGAAUAGUACAAAUAAUCAGGUUCAGAGUUUGAUUUUUAAAGAUAUCCGUUUGAGUUUUACAAACUUCAGGGCUACUAAAAUUUAUAUAGUUAUUAAUUUCAGGACCCGUGAGAUUAGUUGAGGUGUGUACAAGCUGAUCCAAACAUCCACGUUACUUCAGGACCCGUAAGAUUAGUCGAGGUGUGUACAAGCUGAUCCAAACAUCCAUGUUAAUACACAAACAUUAGUCGAGGUGUGUACAAGCUGAUCCAAACAUCCAUGUUAAUACACAAACAUAGAGAGAAAAAACUUAAAGUGAAGAUGGUUAACUAUUAAUUAAGAUAUAGUGGUUAAUUAAUUAGUUUUCAUAAACUAAAUGAUUAUGAAGCUAUAAUUAACUUAAAAAAAAAAAGCAAAUAAAAUUCAUUAAACGAUGCCACCAGCAAAAUCCAGUCACUAUAGUGAAUCGUCGACUCCAUUCGUGGGCCUUUCUUGGUUACUAAGGAGCCCAUUGGCUCAUUUGAAAACCAGACUAUCUACAACCUCUCAAGUGAUCCACCAAUAAUUAAGAUGGUUAUUGCCCAACUCUCACAACAAAAUAAAAAACAAAAAAACUAUAAAAAUCCAAAAACCUAGAAAUGUUAAAAGUUGAAUCAUAUCAAGAAAAUUGAAAUAAUCCAUAAAAAAUAUAAAAGAAACAUUGGUAACUAAUAAUUUUUUUUGAAAAACCAUGUCUUGCAUACUUAUUUCAAUGUUAUAGACAAAUUUAUAUUUAUUUACAAGGUUUUAUGACCUUUUUUUAUAUUUUAGAUCUUACAAGCUAUUAUUGUUUUUUUAGAUUUUUAAACUUUCUUCAAUUUUUCAUUUUUUUUAAUGUUUGUAUUCGUUUUUUUUUAUAUAUAUAUAUUUUUUCAUAUUUCUUAAAGUUAAAUUUACAUUUUUUAUAAUAUUUUUCAAAACCAGUUUUUCUUUUAGUUAUUCCAGCGUAUUUUGUACAUGUAGAAGAAAACAUGAAAAAUAUAAGAUCACACGAGAAUAAAAGAAAAUAAAUUAAUUUUUUUUCUAAUUUAUAAGUUCUCUGUCUUGAGAAUAUUUAAGUAUGCGUUUACAAAGUGUAAGCAAUGAUCGGUUUUAUAUUUAUAAGUAAUUAGCAAUUAAGUAGUUGAGGAUUAUCUUUAACGAUCAUAAUUAGUCUUUCAUGAAUCUAGAACUCAUAUUUCAGAUCUUGUUAACUAGAUUAUAAAUCAAAUAAAGACAUUUUAUUCUUUUUUUUAGAAAGAUUAAAAAUCACUCUAAUUCUAAAACUCUAGAGUCUAGAUCCUUGAAAUAUGAGGUAAACCUAUCAUAUCAUAUUUAAAAUUAACACGUGAGGUCCGUGUAUUUCUGCGUUUUAAAAGUGUUUUUAAAAAAAUUUAAUUUUUUUUUAUUAACUUUAAAUUAAUAUGUUUUUAAUGUUAUCAAAUCAUUUUAAUGUGCUGAUGUCAAAAAUAAUUUUUAAAAAAUUAAAAAAAUAUCAUCGGCAUAUAUUUUAUCACAAAAAAUUAUUUAAAAAAUCACUACAUAUAUCAACACUACCAAACAAGCUCUUACCUUUUUUAUAAGCACGAUUAGGGCUUAUAUUUAGGGAAUAAGUAUAGCAAAACAUAUGGUACCAGCUCAAUUAUCCAUGCAAUUACGGGAAUUAGAAUCUUGAAAAAUCAAAUAUAUAUCCCAUGACUCAUGGAAGUGUCGGUGAGCACCAAUGACUGAUCAUGAAACCAGACAGCACAAAAGGUGGGGUCUAGCCAUGCAAGAACAACAUGCAAAAAGAGAAAACAAUAAUAAGGGUGGAAUGCGUGGUUGUGCGAGUCGGUAGUUGGCAGGUCUUUUUCUUGCAUUACUGUAGUCAUGUUCUUAAUUAUUUAUUGCUUAGAUUAUACAACAAAUAAUCAAAAGGAAUGCCACUUUCUCAUGCUUAUCUCCUUUGUUUUUUUUUCCUCUUCUAGGUCAGUCCACUGUCUGCUUUACUUUGUGUCACUUCUUCAAAGUACUACCUACUUACGUUAAUCAAUCAUCUUUACGUGAUUAUAGUGUAAGAAAAUGACGUCUCCCAGUUAACUUCCAUGCUUCUUAAUUUCUUCCCAGAUGUCCAACCACCUGGGGAACGUUUGCAUGAGGUGAAAACACAGGCUACCCGAGAAACGAGCUCUGGCUGGUUUGUUUGGAGGUCAAAUCAGUGCCAUUUUUUCUCAGUUUAUCCCCCCUCCAAGAGCUUGAGAUUGGAUUCCAACCAUAUAUUUAACACCCUGAGAUCGAUGUCUUUCUUAAGCAGAAAGCAUUAGCUUCUUUAUGUUUGCCAGAGCUGACGCUUGCUGAUAGCACAAUUUACAUCGAUCUCAGCUAAUUAUCUCUCAGUCUUGAAUCGCCCUCAAGUGCUUAUCGAUUGGUCAUAUAUAUACAUGUUCUUCAUCAGAUAACAUUUUCCAGCUAAUUAGUCUGUACGUAUAUACCAAGAUUAAAUCCAAUUUUCAAAUUUAAACAAAGACAUAUAUACCGUCCAUAUAUAUAUAUAUAAAAUCUUGAAGUGGGGAAUCAAGGUGGGAAGUAAACGAAUCUGCCUACUUAACCAAUCCACAAGAUUUGAUCAAUUGCUCAUAAAAUGGCAAAAUAACUGCAUGGCCGACAUAACAGUAUUUUUACCCAAAUUCCCAUCGAAUUUGCUUGACAUCUAAAGCUUGACUUAUACGGCAGUAUGGCAGGCAUUUGACAACUAGCGAGUCAUUUUUUAUUUACAUUCCUCAGGAUCUUAAAGAUGCAUUCAAUCCUAGCAAGCUGUGUGUUUGGAUUUAUUCCUCCUUUUUCUCUGCUUGCAGUUCAGUUUCCUCAACGCGUUUUUGUAAUAAUCCUCAUACAUGCUGUCUUCAUUAGGCUGCUUCUAAUUGAAACUGAAUGUUGACUUUUGCCUGCUUUUGUUGAUGCUGUUUUUUCCCUCGGUUGGUGAAGAUCGUCUCCGAUGGGACAAUCGGUUGGUGUUUAAGAUUUUUAUAUCCACUUUUUUUAAUUUAAAUCUUUUAAGGAAUAAAUAGAAAUUUACGGAAAGAAAAUAGCUUGCUAUUAUUCAUCAGAAUCCAAACCUUGCGCUGUGUUUGUUUGCUUAUAUUUUUAAAUCACAAUAGCUGGAUCACAUAUCUCAGUGGAAAUUUCCCAGCUAGAGGAGGGCACCACAAUUUUGUCUCCAGACGAGAGAUACCGUCGUUGACCAUUACACAACUAGGUCAAAAUAACAUUUACUAAUCCAAGGUCACUUUCUAGAGCAUGUGAAAGGAUUUAAUUAGAUCACCUUUGAUAUGAUUUUUAUAAUUUUUUUUAUUCUUGAUUAAAAAAAUGUUAUACUUAAAAAUGACUUUUAACUUAAAUAAAAAAACCUAAUUCAAAAUCAAGUUAAUAUUUUUAUUUAAUUAAAAACUAAAAUUCCGAACUUUAAAUUUAUAAAUUCUAGCUUGCACAAUAAAUCUUAAAAAUAUAGUUUUUACGUAAUUCUAACUUCAAUCAUUUUAGCUCAUUUGAAUUAUAAAUCAAAAUUAAAAAUUAUAAAAUAAUUUUUUAUUAACAUAAAUAUUUGAAUCAGCUUACCUGUAUAUUAAUUAAUUUUAUAAAUUUUAAAAUUAAUAAUUAUAUAAACCACUCAUACUCGUGAAAAAUAUCACCCUCACAACAGUUAGCUGUAAUGUCAUACCAACGUCAAGAAAUUUCAAAUCCCCUUUGGUUGUCCUAAGGCUGUGUUCUUAAUUGGUGUUAAUUAAACCUUGGAUCCCGCAGAAGCUCAGCUGAAACUUCGAAUGCCGAAAAAUUUCAAAUCCCUUGUGGAAAUCCUAAAACUGUGUUCUUAAAUCUGUUAAACCUUGGAUCCCACAGAGGUUAAACCCAGCUGAAGUUUCCCAUUGACCUGAUAUUCUGACUUCUUCUGACAGGGCUAGCUACAGUUUCCCAGGCAUUAAUGGGGAGUAGACACUUCAUGCUGUUGCAUUUCUUUCUCGACAGAUAGAUAGAUAGAUACUAGGUUUAUCAAUUUAAAUGCUACAACAUUAGAUCAUGUCACAAAAUUUUUCUAAUGACACCACAGUACUUUCUCAGUUUUUUUAUUUUGCAAUUAAAUACUAUUAUAUGCCUCUAAUUUAAUGCAUAGUUAUAUGAUUUAAAUCGGCUUAGUGGGUUGACUGGUACCCAACCGACUUGAUAUCUAAAAGACUAAAACGAUUUAGUCUAAAUAAAAAAUAAAAAAAUAAACUAAUCUAUGUUCUAAUCAACCCAAUGAAAACCAAUUUAAAAUCCAUCUAUUUGUUUUUAUUAAAAACAAUAUUAUUUUAAUGUUUUUUAUAUAUAAAAAAAAUUGAUUAACGCCUUCCGACAUGGGAGCAGGCCUUGUCCUGUCUUGAGAUUAAUAAGAAUGAUAUAUUGUUGCUAUGAUUUUUUUACACGGUACAAUUCAAUUCAAUUUAGGAUAUGAUUAUUUUAAUGUGUUGAUAUCAAAAAUAAUUUUUAAAAAUCCUCACGAUCUUGUUCCUGAUGACGUGAGCUCACUUCUGAGCCUAACAUCCCAAAACGCGUACAACAUGUUAGCAACCAAUAAGAUUAACAACCAAAUCCUCACCUGUUGAUGUAAGAUAUUACAAUUGUGACAAUUUUUUUUAUUGUACCCACAAGAAAAUGUUUCAGGAAAUUCCGUAGAAUCAUUUCGUGUAUCAGUAUUUCACUUAAUUAAUUAUUUUUCUUCAAAUAUUCGGAUUGUUUGUGGGCUAACUUAGCUUUGUGAUUAUUGUUUGAAACACCAUCUUAUUAACUGCAACAAUUUAUACAUGUUAAUUUGUGGGUGUACAAGUGUGCUCAGCAUGUCCCAGUAAUUAAUUAUAAUUUUCCUUCAACAUUAAGUAAUUUUGAUGAGUACUAUAUUCUUAAAGCAAAAAUGUCAACAAAAAAACACCCAGCUAUCAUAAUACUUUACUGGCCCUUCUAAUGGCUUCUUCUUGCUUAAGGUUUUUGCAAAACAGACGAAGGACGACAGUGACUGUGAAUUGUAUUGGUCUGUUGGCCUUAAAAAAAAAUGUCAACAAAAAACACUACGAUUAUGAGAAUUUUUUAUACAAUGUCAUUAAACUUAGAAAAAUUGGUAAAUUUUGAAAUUUCUUGACUUGGUUUUUUAAGUUAGCACUAGUUUUUAAUUAAACCACGUAUAAACUAAUUUAAUAUAAAUUAAUUGAUUUUAUAAAUUUAAAGGUAAGUUGAAUGACCAUGAAAAAUAUAGAUUAACUUAUAAAAACACUAAAAAUAAAGGUUUUUUUUUAAGUAUUGAGUCGAUGUCAUAUUGGAUGACCCUGGUCACAAGCGAUUUGGUUCAUGAACUUAGCUGGGUUUAAUAAAAAAAGUUAAAUAAGUUUUUAUUUAAUUAAAUGAUAAAAAUUAGAUGCUCGUAAUUUCAAGGAUCAAUCCUAAAAUAGAUGUUUUUUCAAGGCCAUGAUAACCCUAAAUAAAGUAAAAAAAAAUCAUUUAUGAAGUCUAUUUCUUAACUAAUCUAACAUCGAAGAAUAAAAUCAGGAAAAAAAUAAAAUAUUUUUUUAAUUAUUAUUAUCAACAUUAAGUAAAUGAUCAAAUUGCUCAUGACGAUUAAGCUCUUGAAGUCAUAUUUUAAAAGUGACAUUAAAAAAAAAACUUUAUACCCAAGUUAAGUGUUGUUUUGCAUUUGGCAUUUUAGUAACUCAACUUUGCAAAAAUCAAAAAAGCAAAAAUAUAAGAGUAACCUUGAUCAAUUAAAAAAUAGUUAAUCCAUAAUAAUUGAAGGAGGGUGAGUAUUAAAGUCAUAGUAGGAAAAACCAGUAAAUUUACUAUUUCAACCCAUAGUAAUUGAUCCGGACAAAUCUUCUAAACCUAAGAACUCGGGUUCAAUUAAGAAUCUCAAUUGUGAACCAAUUUAAUGCUAAAUAAUAAUUUUUCUUAAAAAAAUCCCAAAUUAAAAAACUAACCAAAGAAAAAAAAACAAAAAAGAAAAAGAAUGAGCAUCAUAUAUGAAAGGAGGGAAAAAUAAAGGGGUGUAAUUAAAAAAGAAAACAAUGUAAAAAACUAUCUUAAAUAAAAAUAAAUAAAUAAAAAGAAUGAAGAUCAAAUCUGAUAGACUAAAAAAAUUAAAGGAGGAUGCAAUUGAAAGCAAAACAACAUUUGAAAAAUGAAUUAAAAUAAAACAAAUACAUAUAAAAAAAGGACAAAAUCAAAAUAAAAAUAACUUGAAGGACUAAUAUGAUAAUGUGGAGGGUCAGACAUGGAUUUUUAGAAAGAAAGAGAAAAGAAAAACAAAACAAAAGAACGUUGACAAUGCACCUACUAAUUUUCAACACAUUCUCGUACACUAUUAUCCUCUUCUUUCUUGAAUAAUUAUUGCACCUACUAAACCAUCCAGGUGGUGGCCCAGUGGUAAGAAUUUGGGACCAAGAGGUUUGCUCCCUUUAUGGUCUCAGGUUCGAGUCCUGUGGUUGCUCAUAUGAUGGCUACUGGAGGCUUACAUGAUUGUUAACUUCAGGGCCCGUGGGAUUAGUCAAGGUGCGCGCAAGCUGACCCGGACACCCACGUUAAACUAAAAAAAAAAUUGUUGCGCCUACUAAAUUUCUUCCACUUUCAAAAUUUGAUUAGAUGAUUAAUGAUUGUGUUAGUUGUUGUUGCCCUUCACUCGUCUUCAAUCUUGUAAUCAUGUAGACAUGCAAACUCAACCUUGACUAGCGUGCAUAGAAUGAGUUUUUUUGUCACGUCGAAGAGGAUAUUUUUCAACUAACUUUUACGCUUUGAGGUUAAAUCCUUCUUUGAGUGGAUUUUAAGCUAACCAUCUAUAUCCUCCUGAUCAACACAUUAAAAAAAAAAGAAUUUAAUUCUUACUAAAUCUCCCUGGAAUUUGUAAAAUAUGGAUAAAUCAAUGUCUAUAUUUGUAGUUCUAGAUUAUGAUAUUUGAUGUCGUAUUCCUUACAGCGAAAUAGUCCUGUAAUUUAUUAUUCAAAAACAUAUUGUUUAAUUAUUAAAAUUAAAUAUGAAAUUAUUUUACAUUAUGUAUUAACUAAAUUCUUGGAUAUUACAUGAUUUUAUGUCCCAUCUUGGCUAUACCACCUGAAUUUACUGCAAGGAUUAUGAUAUUACAUGAUUAAAUAUUUAACCACUAUAUAUGUACUUAUCUUUAUUACCUAAUUUGACAAUUAACGAAUUGAUUUAGGGAUAAACAUGGAAGGGACAGCCUUGCCCCCUCUUUACUCAUGAUGCUUGCAAACAACAUGAAAAAGGCACCUUGAAAAAGAGAAAAAGAAAAAGAAUAUAUAAAAUCUUUUACAUAUAUGAUAUUUUUCAAAAAUAUUUUUACAUAGAAAUAUAUUAAUUUUUUUUUAAAAUAUUUUUAAUAUUAACCCAUCAAAAUCAUCAGAAAAAUUAAUUUGAUUCUUUCUCAAAACAUUAAUUUAAUACUUUUCACCCUUUUAAAACAAAUCUAUUCUUAAAAUGGAAACGCAGGAACAAACGUGGGCUAAAAAAGAAGAAAAAGCUAAUUAUAACCAAACAAAGAAAAUUCAAGGCAAUAAAGCAUCAAAAUAAUUAAAAAGAAAAAAGAAUCUUAAUGUGAUCAUUGUUGUUCAAUCACAAAUUUCUUUAAUAUGAAUUCUAUUGGUUGAGAUCUGCAUCCCCUUUUGAGCAGAAGUCUCAUACCAAAUUAUUACAUCCUCCAACUUCACAGAUCUUACACCUUGCCCCCCUGCCCUUUUUUUCUUCUCUUCAUUCACAUUUAUAUCUUCUUCUUCUGUAUCAAAUCUAUUUCUAUAUGCUACAACAUCAGCGACAGCUGCCACAAUUUUAACCAAUACAUCGAAGGACCACGACAACAACUUGAACCCAAUAAAAGAGAGCGUAGAACUCAUUUAAUUCACAAAAAAGGGGGGGAAGAAAAAGAAAAGACCAACCAUGUGAUGAUGAUCAUGGAUGGACCCUUAAGCUGAUUCCUCGGGAUGCUCACUGUUGAUAGCACUGCCCUUCUUUACCCUUGUCUGAAUCCCAUAAUAAUUAACAUACCACUUGACAAAUUUCCUCAACCCAGUAGCCAAAUCUGUGGAGGGUUUGUACCCAAAAUCCUUGAAUGCCAAAGUAACAUUAGCAUGUGUGUAAGGCACAUCCCCAUUUCUUGGCAUCUUGAUCACAUGCUUCUUUGCUUUUGUACUCAAGAGUCCUUCCAAAAUUGACACCAAAUUCGCAACAGGAACUGGUGAGGUGUUGCCAAGGUUGUAAACUCUCAACUGUGCAGGCCCUUUCUUUUUUCCACCACUUCCUGUGCUCUUCUCAGCUGUGUCCAAUGCCCCGAGACACCCUUUGACAACAUCAUCAAUGUAAGUGAAGUCACGAGCCACUUGCUUGUCAUCUUGAGUUUGGUAGACAUCAAUUGGUUUACCUUGCAAGAUAUCUUUUGUGAAGAAGAAAUAAGCCAUAUCAGGUCUACCCCAUGGACCAUAAACUGUGAAGAAUCUUAAUCCAGUGAGUGAAAGACCAUAAAUAUGAUUAUAAGUAUGUGCAAUCUCUUCUCCUGCUUUCUUGGUAGCUGCAUAAAGACUUGCUGGCUGAUCUGUUCUAUCCAAUUCUGAGAAGGGUACUUGAGUGUUCAGUCCAUAAACUGAACUUGAUGAUGCCCAGACAAUAGCUGGCUGUGGAUUUGCAGCUUUUGCAACUUCAAGAAGAUUGACAAAACCUGCAAUGUUUGAGCUCACGUAGGAUUGUGGGUUUUGCAUGGCAUAACGAACCCCAGCUUGUGCAGCAAGAUGGAGGAUGUGUGUGAAAGGAACAACAUCAAAAAGCUUUCUUAACAAUGAGGCAUCAUUCAAGUCACCUUCAACAAUGAAAACUUCAUGUCUCAACAGAAGUUUCUGUCUUGCUCUUUUAAGUGUUGGGUCAUAGUAACUGUUGAAGUUAUCUAAACCAAGAACCCCAUCACCUCUUUUCUUCAAGGCAAGAGAGCAAUGAGAACCAACAAAACCAGCUGCCCCAGUCACUAAAACAGAGAGCCCAUUUCGCCUUUUUGGAGUGGAGGAGUGGCGGACUUGCUUUUCCCAGGCAGCGCCACCGCCGGCUGAGGAGGUGAAGAAGGCAGUGGAAAGGAAGUUGUGGUGGUGGAGAUGGGCAUGAUUGGGAAUAUUAUCAGAAAGUGGAGGGUAAUUAAGGGUAAAAAAGAGAAUCAACACAAGAGCAAUAAGGAGCGUAGCACGGAAGAGAAGUUUAGAGGAGGCAUUCAGUACUUUUGUACUAUGUAGCCUGCGAAGGUAACUAUUGUAACGCUCAAGCUUUAUGGUCUUGCUUGUGUCUGGUGGUGAAGCCAUUUCUUUGUGUCAAAGAAAGAAAUCAACAAGUGGUAUUGCUAUCAAGGAAGACGGUGAGCGGUGGUCUUGCUGUUGUUAAGGUUUCGAGGGGAAGAAAUCAAAGGGCUAAAUGUGCUAGAGCUGAAUUUCGAGUUAGAGCCCUGAAUUUGUGAAGAGUGGAGAUAGAAGAUUAUAUAGGGGAAAGAGAGGGAGUGGGGAUGGGUUGGUGUUGGUUGGAGACCACUUUGCGCGUCUUUAACACAUACUCUCUUUCUACUAGCUAGGCUAGGCUACUAGCUGCUUACAGAUGGAAAAGUGGGGAAAAGUAAUCUAUUAAAAAACAGAUUUAAGAAAAUGCCCUUAUUUUCAAGUCUUAAUUACAGAGGAAUAUCCAUCCCAUCCUUCGCAAUUAUUAAGUAAUGGAAACUAGAAAGUGCCAGCUACUCUGGUCUGUAGAAAACCUCACUCACAUGUGAGUUCUUGCUCAUAUUCAGGUUCAGGUUCAGGAUUGAUGCGAACACUACUCCCGUUUUAUUUAACUAAUUCGGGUAUUUUUUUAUUUUUGUUUUUCAAAUCCUAUUCAGACAUGAUUAGUGUACUAGACUUGACAAAAUGGGUUUACCUUAAGCGGCUGUUUCUGGGGUCAACUUGGUUUCAUGCAGAUAAUAAGGGCAUGGAUUUAUGCAAUUUUUUAAUACUAAGAGGCACUGUUAUUUUCAAGAAGUCUAUUCACCUCGUGGACGGGGUGAUUAAUAAUCCUGUUGUUAGCCAAGUAGGCAGAGAUAUGUUUGGUAGUGUUUGGUAGUGUGCGGGGUGUGAUUAUAAUUAUAUUUUAUUUAGUUUUGAAGUCUUUCUUUAAUCAAUAUAUAUAUAUAUAUAUAAUGUACCCAUAUCAUGAUCCAGACCUAGAUAUCGUGUUUAAUUACUAUGUUCCUAACACAACUUCCACAUUCACCUCAUGGAUAAAUCAUGGAUAAAUAAUUUCUUGCAUAUUUGGCGGGGAUAUCUUUUUUCUUUAAUUCUCAUUGUAAUCCCUUUUCCUCUUUAACAUACGAUAAAGAGAAAGGUAUGCUGACAUUAAUUGGGUUUUUGUUUUGGAUGAAAUCGAGUGCCUUUUACUGGUGUUUUUGGAUCUUAUUGAAAAAAGAGAGAGCAUUGAUCUUUAGCUACAGUAUAAUGAAAAUGGAUAUUUUUCAUUUUGUAAUCUCUCUCUCUCCAUCUCUCUGGAUUAGAUAAUCUCUUGUUUCAUGCUUGAACAAGAAUGGUUAAUCACGCAUCUAGAAAGACACAGAAACUCGUCAAUAAAGAAGAUCAAGCUCGAACUACUCUAAAGAUUGAUAUUUUUGGCCGAAGAGAAGAAGAAAGGUUAGAGAAGCAAAUCCACGUGGUAAAGUUGUUGUUGAUUACAAAUGAAUGCUGUUUCUCGUCUGACUGGUAGUUACCGACAAGAGUGUUAAAGCCUAGAACUAUCUUUUACUUUAGAUUUUGUCCUUUGUUAAGGAUCAAAUGGUGCAAUCUAUCCUUUCUUUAAGCACUUGUACGUAUUUGAUGUAGAGUUAGGCUAGUCAAAGUGAGAAAUCGUUUUUUGAAGAAUAAUCUGUUUACUAGUCGGUGGCCUUAAUUACGGAUCUAAACUGGUGGGCUGGAAUUAGGUUAAUGGAUGUCAUUAUUACCUAUUCAUUCUUUAUUUAGAAAUGUUUUUGUCGGUAUUUUAGUAGUGAAGGAACCUUUGAGAUGUAACGUUUGUGGUAAUAACAUAUGUUUUAUAUAUAUCAUAAAAAAAAUUAUAAUUUAUGUACAUUAAUUCAUUCAUUCAAGUGCUAAGAACUCGUUUACAAAUUAACAAACUAGUAAUGUUUUAUCGAAGCGGUCCAAUAGUUCAUAAUUUUUUAAAAUAUUUUCUUCUUAUUAUUUUUUCAUAUUAGUUAUAUUAUAAUCUUUUAGAUGUGCAUGCAGGGGCGAAACCAGGGAAGACAAGCAGGGCCGAGCUCCUGCAGAAUAUUUUAAUUUUUUUAUUUAGUAUUUAAAUAUAGAAUAAUAUGAUAUUUUUAUUUUAAAUAAAUAAAUUUUUUAAUAAUAUAUCUUGUUAUAUUAAUUUUAACUUUCUCUAUCAAAUGCUACCAGCUCCAACUACUCCGCCCAUGUGUGCAUGGUUAUUCGUUAGACAUUUAUUUGAUAGUGUAUAUUAAAUAUUUCUAUGUUAGUAAACUUGGUAACACAACUAAUUAUGAAUGGAGCAGAAUAAAAAAAACAAGGGAAUUCGUUCGGAAAAUUACACAAAAUUACUCCAUUAAAUUCAACCUCAACAUCAACUGGGGAAUUGUAGAAAAAAUCAAGACAUAUAUAUCUAAAUUUCCUUUUUACCAUAACAAAAGUUCUUAUAACAUGAAGGUGAUCUUUAAUUUAAUUGAUAAGUCUUGUAUGUGUGUGUGUGUGUGUGUGUCUAGAGAGAGAGAGAGAGAGAGAGAGAGAUUUCAUCAUCUUAGCCAAAAUUUUUGGUCUUAGAAUCUAGAACAAUAUAUAUUGUUGGGAUUGGAUCUUGUAAAUCCUAACAAAAUGGUGGGCAAUUUGUAGUGAUUGUCAAGGAAGUUGUGAGAAAAUGGACCUCAAUAUUCUUGCUUUCCGACACUACAGACCCAAGAAAAUGGAGAUCUAUCUGUCUCUAGCUUAGGUUAAUAAUAAUAAUGAUGAUGAUUAUGAUGAGUAGAUCUAUCUGGUAUGGAUUAAAAUUUAAAGUUUUAGGCAAGUUGAUUUCAUCCCAUUAAUUCAUACAUCCUAGAAUCAAUGUCCAAAAAAUCACAAGGGUGUAAUGGGACCCUACAUAUUGUGUCCUUUUCGAGCCGGUGGGAGAAGCCGGGAGGAAAGAGCCUCCAAUGGGAUGGAAAGGGAAGGGGAAGGUUGUAGGGUACCUUGUUAUACGGGGCUCUCUCAAUAUACCCUUACUUGUAAGGUCGGUCUCGCUAAUCACAUGGGAAGAUAAAGACAAAGAAAGAAAGAGAAAUAAUUAAUUAAGGGAGACAAAAACUAGAAAAUCACAAUUUAAUAUAUGAUAGAUAUUCUUUACCAAAGUAAACAAAGACUAAUUGGUAUUUUGAUAUGGACAUAGAGUUGAUAUGUCAAAAGAUCUAAUUAAUAGAGAUGGUGGACUAGCUACUGACAUUUGUAACUAUGCUAUGGUACGUUAGUACUUGAUAAUAAGUUCAUUUUCAUGAAUUAGGGCAUUCACAAUCUUUUCUAUUUGUACUUGGAAACAUUGGACAAGAUGUGUCCCAAUGAGAUGCAUCGCAUCUAUCCUUGUAUAUCUACAUACUGUGGUCAUCGUUCUCCUUGUCUGUGAGCUGCAGUUGGAUGGCUUUUGACCAAUCUGGGUUGGCUGUGUUCUUGGAUAGAUUUUGCAAGUGAAACAGCUAUGAAAUGGGUCAAAACCAAUUUACUAAUCGAGGUCCUUUUAGAUUGAAUUUUAGCAUCUGCAAAUUGUGUCCCGUUUAAUUACUUUUUUUUUUUGGAAGUUUCCCAGUAUUUUAAGAGGCAGUAAAGACAUGACCCGUCUGUGGGAUAGUUAGUUUGGAAAUUAUUAUUUUUUAGACAGAAUAAGAGAUCAAAUUCAUCUUUCAUUUAUUUAAAGAGGGUCAUGGCAAUCUUCUAGACCCAGACCUCCCUCCAGAGGUUCCGGUCAUCUUCGUUUAUGAUUUUUUAAGCUUUUGUGUCGUUCAUUACUAAAAUAAAUAAAUAAAUAAAGAGUUAUCAUUUAUAAUGGCUUAAUUGAUGCUGACAAGCUUCUUUAAUCUCUAAUGUUUUACAACCCUAAAUUAUAAAGAAAGAAAUUAGAACUCUAAAUCUUAUAACCCUUAACUAUAGAAAAAAUAUAUAUUUUAACUAGUAAAAUCCUAAUUAAAUUAAAAAUUAUAAUUUAAAUAAGAAAAAAAUCCAAUUACAAGUAGAAAAACAAAUAAUAUUCUAAAUCUAGCUUGUUAAGCUAGGAUUUUCAUUACACGCUACUUGUCAAUAACACAGUACAAUAUAGCAAUAUAAAAAAAAUGCUUGAUAAAUGUAGAUAGCAGUUUGUGGCAUAGCCGGAGCUGCUUAUCAGUAACCUGUUCACUGAGGGGAAGAAGAGAACAGCGAUGUGAGUGCAUACGACGAAUGCAAGUAGUGCCAUGAAAGACGUAAAUCCUUCCUGUUGCAUUAUUACAUGAGUUGAAUGAUUUGUGGCUACAUUUUGCCCACAGGACAUGUACAUUAUUAUUAUGCAAACGGUAGGGUUAGAGAAUAGACUUGGAAUUAUGCUCUUGAAAAGCUGGGAAAUGGAAGCAAAAGAUGCCAGUUGGAAGCCUCAUCUUGACCCCUUAUUUAUCCAAUUAAAUUGAAGUAUGAUGAUAUUUAUUGGUGGGGACGACUCCGAUUAGCAAUGGACUCUCCUCUUAAUUAGCCCUCCUAAUCCAUGCUUUUUUUAGCAUCAAAGGAAAAUGCCUGUUGUAUUAACUAUAUAGUUAAAAGAAUAGUGAGUUUUAUUGUAGCAUUACUCAUAAAAUACUAUUCAUUAAAUUAAUUUUAUUUUAUUCUUUUUCAAUUGAUGUUUUUUUUUUAGUUUUGUUUUUUAAUAUUAGAUUUUUUAUUGAGUUAUCAUACUUUUAUGAUACGGAUCAUGUGUUUAGUAUGUUAACUCGAUUUGACGGAUUAGCCCUGUUACCUCAAGUUUCUUUUUUUUAAAUAAUUUUUUUUUCAAUUUUAUCUUUUAAUAUUGAGUUGGUUGAGAAUUUGACUUUAUAAUAUUUUUUUGUUUACUUUCUAUUAUGUUAUUCUGGCCUCAUGACUCGAAAAUGGUGCUUAAACAGUUAACCCGAGUAGACUCCGGUUGUUUUUUGUCUUAUUUUUUAUUGAUUUUUUUUCAAUUUCAUUAUUCAACACUAGUCCAAUUGAGAAUUGAGCUUCAUAAUCUGUUUUUACUUGCUUUUUAUGGGGAUAUCUUGGUCUCAUGAUCAAUGUCGUCGGUUUUGGUAUUUUAACCACGGUUGAAUCGAGUUGUUUUUUAUUUUUUUCUAAGAGGUUAUCCCGGUCUCAUGAUCUUGAUCAUGAUUCCUUCAACAUUAGAUUUUUUUAUUGGGUUGUCCUCAUCUCAUGACCCGGGUCACGAGUUUGGUAGGUUAACCCAAUUGACUGUUUUUUUAUUGAUUUUUUUUCCAAUUUCAUCAUUUAAUAUUGUGUUUCAUUGAGAAUUAAGUUUCAUGAUUUGUUUUAUUUGCUUUUUAUUAGGGUAUCUCGGCUUCAUGACCCAAGAAUAAUGCUUAAUGGAUUAACCUGAGUUCGCUUGUCUUAUUUUUUGUGUCAUUUUCUUAGUUAAUAUUUUUGCAAAUUCCAUCAUUCAACAUUAGGUCUAAAGGAGAAAAAAUUAUAUCAUUCAACAUUAGGUCUAACAGGAGCGAAAAAUUUCAUCAUUCAACAUUAGGUCCAACAGGAGCGAAUAAAAAUUGAACUUCAUAAUUUUUUUUGAUUUGCUAUUUAUGGGGUUAUCUCAACCUUAUGAUCAAACCAAAAGUAAUCCAGAUGAUCGAUAAAAAUAUAGUUUGACUCAAAAUAAAUAUUUAAGAUGAGAUUUUGUCAUAAACAUUGAGAUAACAACAUAUUGGAUCGAUUCGGGUCAACCCGGGUUAAUCUGUCAAUCCGCAUGCCAAGUCAUGAGAUGAUGAUAACCCCAUAGAAAGUAAAUCAAAAUAAAAUAUGAAAGUUAAUUUCUAAUAAACUCAAUGUUGAAUGAUUAAAGUAGAAAAAAAGUCAAUUAAGAAAAAUGACAAGAGUCAACCCGAUUUAAUCUUCCAAAACAUGCGACCCAAGUUAUGAGACUGGAAUAACCCAAUAGAAAAAAAUUGAAAAAAAUUAUGAAGCUUGAUUCUCAAUCAACUUAGCGUUGAAAGAUGAAAUUGAAAAAAUAAUAAUUAUAAAGGACAUAAAAAAACAACUCGAGUCAACUAGGAUUAACCCGUCAAAAUAGUGACCCGAGUCAUGAGAUAGGGAUAACCUCAUAAACAACAGACUAAAAUAAAUCACGAAGUCUAAUUCUCUAUCAACCUAAUUUUAAAGGAUGAAAUUGAAAAAAAUAUAUUAAUUAAAAAAAAAACUGAAAUCAAGCGAGUUAACUUGUUAAAGUCGUGGUUCUAGUCAUAACUCUAGAAUAACCUUAUAAAUAAUUAAAUUGAAAAGAAUUAUGAAGUUUGAUGGUUAAUAAAUUUAAUAUUUAAGGAUAAAAUUAUUUAAAAAAAAACAUAGAUUGAAAAAAAAAUAAAAGGAAGGAAAAGAAAAAAAGAAAAUACUAUUAUAAUGAAUAGAGGAGAGGUAGAUAAAUAAACCCUCCGUUUUUUUUUUGUUAAUUAAUUAAUAAAUAUCACGUUGUGGUGAUGUUGAGGGAGAACUUCAACAGAUUUCUUGCAUGAAAAUAAUUUAUUGAUUUCUACCUUUAAGGAUUUCUACCUUUAAGGCUAAUUUGCAAGCAAAAUAAAAAUUGAGAAUCCAACAAUCUAAAUGUGGAUAGCCUGUUUAAUAAUACAAAGUAAUUAAAACAUGGUUAUAAAACUUGGUUCGACUCAUAACUUAGUUUGGAUUAUAGAUUAGAUGGAUAAAUCUAAAUUCGUUUAAAAUAACAUGUUUUAAAUAUUUUUAAAAUAUUAAAAUGUUUCCAUUUAAUUUUUUUAAAAUCAAACUAGGCCUCACUUAUAUUUUUACUAGAUCAACAAGAUUUUAUUAAGUUAAUUACCAUUAGUUCAACAUGAAAUUUAGUUCAAGCCUAUCUUAAGUGAAUGAAUUAUCCAAUUAAUUUAUUAGAUUAAACUAAGUUUAAUAAAAUUGAUCAAGGUUGGAAAAUCUAACCUUUUUUUUAUUAAAAAAAAUCAUUUAAUCAAUUUGGCAAUAGUUUUACCCUUACUUGUACGAAAACAACUUCGAACUCGUUGAAAAAAAAAAGAAUCUAUAACAUUUUAAAUUCUUUUUUGUGAAGCAUCCUUAAUUCUUUGUCAAUUACUAAUAUUAGAUAAUAUUUAGUAUUGUGGUAACAAUUUAUUUUUAAUUUUUUUUAUUUAAAAAUAUAUUAAAAUAAUGAUUUUUUUAAAAAAAUUUAUUUUUAACAUCAUCACACCAAAACAAUCCAAAAAUAUAUAAAAAAUCAUUUGAAAAAAUUUUUUUAUUUACUUUUAAAAACACAAAAACAAAUACUUGCUUAUAUUGAUAAACUAGUACCUGGUAUUUCUGCUAAACAUCUAAUGAAAUGGUUAUCAGAAAGUACUAAAAAAACCAUUAAAUUUAAUAUUUUUUCAAGCCAAAACGCACUCAAACACAAUUUUAACUGUAAUGCCAAACAACCUAACUAGUAUUUAGUAUUGUGGUGCACGAUACUUUUUAUUUAUAAAUAUAUUAAAAUAAUAAAAAAAAAACAACUUAACAUCACCAUAUUAAAACUAUAAAAAACAUUAAAAUUAAUUUAAUAUAUCUAAAAACAACAAAUUCCAUAUUUCCAAACACUAUGAGUUUCCACUGAAACUUGAAAGGCACUAGUCGUUUUCCAGUAGUAAUUAAAGAGUACCGAGAGAAGAAAAACUCUCUCUUUCUCUAUCAAUCUAUUCCCUCUCUACCACAACAAAUGUCGGCAGCCUUCCUUUCACAACCUUCUUAAGUCUUGUCAUGUUAGAUUCCAUUGACAUACACUCCAAUUUUAAAUUAUUGGAUUGAUUAAUCCAAUACUUAUCGCAUUACGAAGACUUGGCAUUUGCAGAGGAGACCCAGAAGGUUGAAGAAAUGCUAUUCAGCAGGCAAUUAUUGUGAUUGAAAUAUUUCAGAUCCAUCAAGAAGAAAUACUGUCCUCAAACUGUAUUGUCCAAUCAUUUUUCUGAAAUUUUACGGUUUUGAAAUGGGAUAUAAUUAAAAUAUUAUAAUUAUAAAUCAUAAUAUUUUUAAAUUGUAUUAUUUAAUUAAAAAAAUUUCAUCAUGUAUUACUUUGUUAUUUUUUUUCAAUUCUAAUUACACAAUUUAUCCAGAAAUAUUCCAUAAAAAUGUUUGACAUUUUAUAUUGAAAAAAAUAAAUGAAGUGAUUUAUUUGAUUUUUAGGGUUUUACGAUUCAAUAACUUCUUUUUAUUUUUUUUAAUCAAUCAAUCUAAUAACUUCUGGAAGCCAGCGACCUAGUCGUUGAACUUUGGCCAAACUUACGUGUUUCUUUGACUUGGAAAAUGUAAAUAAUAGAAUUCUAAAUAAUUGUACGAAAAAACAAGGAAAGGAAAUUAAAAUACUCAGUCGAUGGUUUUGUCAAGCAAUUUAAUAGAUUAAAAGGGAUUAAGAAGGCUUGCAACGUGCAAGACAAAACAAUGGUCGUCCCCUUCGUUGCUUAAUUGCCUGCAAAAGAAGAAGAAAAGAUUCAAAGUGAAUGAAGUGCCAUGCCAAUACAUAUAGGUAUAGACUCUAGCAGGCUCAUAAAUAAAAGAUAUAUAUCUAUGCGUAGGUUUUACUCAUCUUUUUUCUCCCAACAUUUUUUUUUUUUAGUUUAACGUGGGUAUCCGGGCCAGCUUGCGCGUACCUCGACUAAUCCCACGGGCCCUGAAGUUAACGACCAUGUAAGUCUCCAGUGGCCAUCAUAUGAGCAACUACAGGGCUCGAACCUGAGACCACAGAGAGAGCAAAUCUCUUGAUCCCAAACUAUAGGAAUUAGAGAUCAUCAAUUAUACCAUUUAUUUAGUAGGUUCAUUGAACAAGAUAGAAACAUUCGUAUACGAUGGAGAGACUUCAAUUUGCUUAUCCUUUUCGAGAAGAAAAAAUAAUUAUAACCAUCCUCAAUUGUUUAUUAUCAUCCAAUUAGAUAGCAUUACUGAAUCUUGUUUGUCUCACUAGCCUAACUUGUUUUGAUCUGUUGGUCAAUAACCUUCAAACUUACUCGUUUGCUUGUAGAAAGACUAGAGAAUUUUUUACAUACAUUACAUUUCAUAUUGGACCAAGCUAGUUUUAAUUGAGAAGUGCAUCAAGCUCACAAUUUCAUGCCCACAAUUGUAGGAUUUGACUAAAACAUGGAAUUGAAAAUCCUCACUGCCAAAAAUUUGUCAAAUAUAAAAAGAAAUACUAACAUAAUUCUUUUUGUUAAUAGAUUGCGGUAAAUUUUAUCGAUGGACCUCUCCAUCACUAUAUCCCUCGGUAAAUACCGACAAAAACAUUUCGUCGGUAUAUACUGAGAGAAUUGCAAUGAAAAAAGAAUGAAUAAAAAAACCAAAAAAAGUACGAUGAGGUAUAACUUUUACCAACAGCUUUACCAAUGAAACUAACCCGACGGUAAAGUUCAUUCGUAGAUAUACCGACAGAAUUACAGACAGUAUUACAGUAGGAUUCAAAAAGACAAAUCGUACGGUGACAUGGAACGUUUUACCACUAGAAUGACCAAUGAAAUGAUCGAUGAAAUAAUUUCAUCGAAAAAUCCAUCUGUAAUGUUUAAUUUAUGACCUAACGAUCGACCUUCCUCUCUUAUCUACCAUUUUUAUCUUGCUCCUUAUGCAUUUUUUUUUUGCAACAAACAACAGAUACAACCACCUCCAUUAAUCUUAACGCAACUCAACCUCCCACAACAAAUCCAGUUGCCACAACAUUUGAUUUGUAAACAUUCAUGUUCUUAUUCAAAUUUUAUUGAGGAUUCUCCACCUUAAGUAAGCAAAUCUAUCUUUUUAUUUAUUUAAACAUAAUUUUAAAAUGUUAAUUUUUUUUUUGCAUAUUUUUGUAGUAUAUGUAUUUUAUUUGGGUGUUUACUUAUUUUAUAGUUUUUUCUCAUACAAAUUUGUUGUAUAGAUUUAUGAUUUAUACAUAUUAGGGUUAGAUUGAUAAAGCUGAUGUCGAAUUUUUUACUUAAGUGUUUUGUGAUGAAAUAAAUAAUGGCUUAUUUAAUGGGUCCAUUUUAUUUCCUUGUCAAUUUUAUUGCCAAGUUGAAAUUUUCGAUAAAUGUGUAAAAAUUUAAAUUUAUAUAGAUAAUUGAUAAUGAAUUAAGAGUACUAUUAAAAUAGAUUGAAUAAGUUUGAGCUAAACCAAUAUUUUUGUAAAUUUAUUUAGUUAACGUAGUUAAUUAAUACAUGGUGUCAUCAUUAGUUAAAUAGGUUUGAUAUAAGUAAUGAAUGAUCUUUCAUGGAUAUAUCGAGAUUCACCCCAAGGGUUGCGAAGAUUGGAUUAUUGUAAUGAGGUUCAGGGUUUUAUUAGUUACACAUUAUCUAAUUUGAGAAAUAUUAAUGGAGGCGAUAUUAGAUAUUAAUGAAAAACGUGUAAGAAUAACAAAUUUCUAGAUCCAGAUGUUGUAACGAUGCAUCUUCUAUAUAAAAAAAAAGAGUUCAUGGAGAAAUACAUGUGUUAGUAUGCACAUAGAAAAAUCAUAUGUUUCUCACGAUACUAUGGUAGAAAGGAUGGUUGGGUCAACUUCUAGUGCUAACAACAUGCAUGAAGUUGUAGAUGACAAUAGUAUUCCUUAUAGGAAUAUGGUUAUGGAUGUGAUUGGAAUGAAUCGGGAUUAUUUCGGUCAAUAUUCAAUCAUAGAUGAAGAACCUAAUGAAAAAAUGACCAGGUUUUUUGAUCUUUUGAAAGUUUCGGACAAACCAUUAUAGGAUGGUUGUGUAAAUUACAGUAAAUUAUCGGUCGUUGCACAGGUGUUCACCAUCAAGUCAGAUCAUGGAUUAAGUGAGGUCGGUUAUAACUGAAUUGUAGAAUGGGUGAGAAGCAUUUUACUUGAAGGAAAUAAGCUGAAAGAGAACUUUCAUGCUGCUAAGUCUAUGAUGAAACCUUUUGUUUUAGGAUACCAAAAAAUUGACAUGUGUCUAAAUUUCUACAUGUUGUACUACAUUGAAAAUACAGAGUUGAUAGAGUGCGAAAUAUGUGAGCAUUCUCAUUAUAAACCCAUAACUGGCAAGGGAAGAACUCUUGUCGCACAUAGAAAACUUAUAUACUUUUCAAUCGCAUCUAAACUGUUAAGCAUAUGACAUGACACCAAUCACAUGAUGCGGUAGAUGAAGUGAUGAUGCACUCUUCCAUUGGUGAAGCCUAGAAACACUUUAACAAUAUGCAUCCUCAGUUUUUAGUGGAAUCAAGGAACGUGUUUCUUGUGUUAUGUACAGACGAAUUUAAUUCAUUUAGGUCAUUUUCUGCUCCUUAUUUUUAUUGAUCGGUGAUACUUAUGGUUUACAAUAUGCCAUCGGGGAUGUGUAUGAUGCCAGAGUUCAUGUUUAUCUAUGGUCAUACCCGGUCCUAAUAGUUUGGGUUGAAAUAUAUAUGUUUAUCUUUGACCGUUGAUUGAUGAGUUGAACUAGUUCUGGGAAUCUAGGGCUUUGACUUAUAAUGUAUCGAAGAAACAAAUUUUUUUGAUGAAGGCAGUUUUUAUGUGGAUUAUCAAUGAUUUUCCCUGCUUAUAGAGUGGUUUCUGGUUGGAGCACACAUGAAAAAUUAGCAUGUCUAUACUGUAUGGAAAAUACCAAGGCAUUCACACUAACAAACUAUGGUAAAAUGUCUUUUUUUACUACCACAUAUACUUUUUGCUAACGAAUCACAAGUACAGAAAGAACAAGAAGCAUAGUUAUCAGACCCGGCCUGGCCCGGUUGGUCAACCCGGGACCUGGGUGCUCCGGGACCAUGGCCGAGUAUGUUUCAUUAAAACUUCGAGCCUGUAAUUGGCCCGGGGAAAAUCAUUCAACCCGCCGGGUCAACCCGAAACCUGAGAGACUUGGUAAAACCUGGUAGAGACCCUAUCUUUUUGAAAUAUAUUUUUUCUCCUAGCCAGAAAUCCUUCUUUUUCAUAUUUUUCAGUUAGUUACUAAUCCAUUUCAAAGUUCAUUAUAUAAAUACUAGAAGAAUGUUUUAUUUUUUCAAUGUGGGUUUUGAAGCCCUUUAGUAGAUAUACUAUUUGUUCAAAAGAAAAAAGUUAUGUUUUUUCAAUGUGAGAUUUGAAGCCCUUUAGUAUAUAUACUAUUUGUUCAAAAGAAAAAAGUUAUGUUUUUUUAAUGUGGGAUUUGAAGCCCUUUAGUAUAUAUACUCUAUGUUAACAAGAAAAAAGUUAUGUUUUUUCAAUAUGGGAUAAAAAAAAUAUUUUUGGUUUAAAUGCUUCAACUUAAAAGAAUUAGAUAGUACCUUUUUAAUGUGGGAUAAAAAACCUUUUGAAAUAAUCUUUUAAACUUCAUUAUUUACAACAUGUAUAGUCUAUAUUCAUAUGGAUUAUUUCUUAAUUUUUUCAUAUGAAAUAUUAAAACCUCAAACAUUUUUUUUAUUUUUCCGGGUUGACUCGGGUCAACCGUGUAACCCAGGACCUGGCUUUUUGGCCUGGUCAACCCCCGGGUCGGGUUUGCUAACUAUGAUAAGAAGGAUUUUUUUAUUGGCAAAGUUGAAAGGGAUGCUGCAUCGCCACUUCUUUUAGAUGAGGAAUUGCAUGAUGUGGUGUCGAAGUAAGGUGACAUUGUGUUUGGUUUUCAAUCGGGUAAGCAGAAGUUUCCUGAUUUUGGUUUGACGCACAAUUAGGUUAAGCAAAGUAUUUUUUUGAGAGCUUUCUUAUUGAAAUAACAAUCUCCUCUACCAUAACCUUGAUGUCAUACACAGAAAAAAAACGUGUUUGAGAAUAUUUUCAACACUAUUAUAAAAGUGAAAGGGAAUACAAAAAUACAACAUCAAGGCUAGAAUGAAUAUAACUUUGUUUUGAAAACGUAAAAAUAUAGAGUUAGUUUAUGUUGGGUCACACAGGUCACAAAGUUUAGAGUCAACUUCGCCUUAGAUAAAAAUGUAUAAUUAAUUGUCUACCCAUGGCUUAAAAAUCUGUGUUUUUCUUAUAGAUAUGCCUCGAACAUAUCAAGCUUGUUGAAUUUAGAGGUUGACAGAUUGUAUAUAAUGAAUAGCCAUGAUUGCCACAUGUUUAUGCAGACACUCAUUCCAUUAGCUUACCGGGAUUUAUUGUCAAAGGGGAUAUAGGAUACACUCAUAAAGAUCAGUCAUUUUUUAAAAGAUAUAUGCUCCAAUAAGUUAUAGACACAACACAUGGAGAUGUUUGAAAUAAAUAUCGUCCAAACAAUAUGCAAACUUGAGAUGAUAUUCCUUUCAUCAUCUUUCAACUCAUUUAAACAUUUACCUAUACAUUUACCAUUUAAGGCAAAAGUUCGAGGCCCAAUCCAAUAUAGAUGGAUGUAUCCAUUCGAGAGGUUAGGGAUUAUACAUGUAUUAUAAUUAAUUUUUUUUUAUCUUUCUUUGUAUACUUCAAAACACUCAUUUAAUUCAAUGCAGGUAUUUGUUCAACCUUAAGAAAAAAGUAAAAAAAACAAAGCGCUUAAUGAGGCCUUGAAAUGUGAGGCCUCAAUAUUUAUCUCGUACUAUUUCAAGCAUCAAUUAAGAACAAAAAUCAACUGUGUUCCAAGGCAUGACGAUGGUGGUGAAGUGUCUUCAAGUAAAUGAAUGUUUUCAAGUAGAAACUUGUCAAUAUUCUUUCAUCCUAGAUAACCCGUACCAAAAAAUAUUGUAAGGGGAAGAUAUUUUCUAAAAUAGAAUUCACACAAGCAUAUAAUUAUGUGCUAUUUAAUUGCGAUGAAUUGAGACAUUUUAUUCAUUAAGUAUACUACUUAACAUGUCAUUAUUUUCGAACAAUUUAUCUCUAAUAAUAUCAUAAAUUGAUACCUUGUUAAAUAGCUUGUAAGACACAUCAUUUAUAUUUACUAUCCUAAGAUUCACAGUUGAAUGAAUCUCAAAUCUUUCGAUUACAAGAAGAAAUUUUUUUCACAUAGUUUAGAACACAUGUAAGUACUGUUUAAUUAUUCUUAUAUCUUGGGAUACUUAAUUUCAUUAUAUAUUUCUCGUUAACUGUUUGUUGUUAUACUUAAUAUAUAUGGUUUAUCAAUUGGGAGGGAAUGUUAGUGUUACUUUAUCCUUACUAAGUCUGAGUCCUGAAAGAAAGGUGAAGCGCUACAACGUGUAUUUUGUUAAUAUACAUGUGUUUCAUACUGAAGAAUAUGAGAAUGAUAUAAAAACAUAACAGUGAGGUUUGUGUUAAAGGGUCGACUUUUAAUGAGUUUGAAGUUGACUACUAUGAGAAGUUAGAAGAGGUCAUUGAAUUGCAAUAUCAUAGCGAGCAUAAUAGAGUAUUUUUAUUCAAAUGUUAUUAGUAUGACACCACUAACAGAGGAAUCAUAGUAAAUUAAUUUAAAGGCUAGACACUGCAAUAUCUACGAUAUCUUUGUUUUUGCCAAACAAUUCUAACAAGUUUAUUACACAUAUACCCUUUAAUUUAGAAAAAAUCAUUCAAGAGUUGAUUGGUUAUCUGUAGUGAAAACCAAACUCAAGGGUCGUGUCAAGGUUGUUCAGGAUGGGAAUAAUGAAUUAAUUGUGGAAGAUAAUGUCUUUCAACUUGGUGACUUAGUUGAUCUAUAUUGCGUUGCAUUGUCUAAUGUCUUAAGAAGAAAAUUAAAAUUUUCAUGUCGCCGAUAAUAUUUUUGUUGAUGUUGAUGUUGACGUUGAGGAGUUGAAUGAUGUUUUGAGGUCCAGUGAACACACACAAGUCAAUCAAGAUGAUGAUAGUGACAAAAUUAACGUAAAAAAUUAAGAUGAAGAUAAGGACAAGUCAAUUGACAAAGCAAAAGAUAAUUCUGAUUAAUUUGCACAAUAUAAUGAACUUUGCACAACAUGACUUUGUAAUGCCACGUCCGUCGGUAUAUUCCAGAGUGUUGGAAAGGAAUUGUUGCAAAUAUCACUAGUACUGUUAAAUCUCUGAUGGAAUUAUAGAUGAUAAUGUUAUAUUUACCGACGAACAUAUAAAAACACCGAUGAAAUUGCAUGUGGUAUUUAUGUCGUUUAUAUGGCAAACUUCCUGAGGAAAAUACAUAUGGAAUGAAAUGUAUCAAUUUUUUUGGAGCGCUUUGUCCGUCUUUAAAUCCAUCAGUUAAUUUAUUACCGACGAACUCACCGACAGACCAGAAAUUACCAACAAGAGUUUUCCAACGGACUGGUUCCAUCCGUGAGCCUAUAGAUAAAAUACUUAUCAACAGAUUGUGAGUUUAAAUACCGAUAGAAAAUUCCGUCGAUAAAACUGUUAAAUCUGGUGAUGCUUCAUCGUUUUACAUGUAUACAUGUUGAUGCUCAAUAUUGUUAUAUGUAUAGUUUCAUGUCACCAUGUACAUUUGAUAUAGUUGGAUUGCUGCAAAAGCAAGGAAUUGUGAAAAAGAGAAGAGAAAGGUUUACCAGAUAGCCAAAAUGGUAUUUGAUGAAUGGGUUUGCCCACUGCUUAUGAUGGAUUGGACUAUUCUUGAUGUGUCCUUACCUGUAAAACAAAGUUCUUUGUGUGUUCCGAUGAUUAAAUUAGUUUAGUGAUGGAGCUUAAUGGUGUAGAAAACUUUUAUUUAUCGGAUUCCUUUGACCUGUAUCGUUGAGUAUAAAAAUACCUCCCCUCACUUACCUGCGAAGACAAAGGGUAUAGCUUGUCAUCAGAGGGUGGCACUGUGAGUGUAGCUCUCCUUCGUAAUUGUAACUGUCGGUUUUAGCUUUUUAUACAAGCAAUUCAUCAAGGCAAGAAAUCUCACGCCUUUUGGCAGUAAAAAACAAUGUUCUGAUUGUUCGCCGUAUCGAUCAAUAAUCAGAGGCAUUAUAAAAAACACUCGAAGGAGAGCCACAGGAAAUCCAAGUGGGCAUAGCCAUCUAUUUUAUAGCCUUGUGAUGUUUACUUGCACGUAGCCGCCUUUGCAUCUUUUUCACAGAACUGUUUGUUUUUGGCUGUGUGCAUGCGCCUGGCUUUGCCAAAUUGUAAAUAAAUCCUCACUCUUCUAUUAACUAUCUAUUAUGAUUGAGGGAAACUGAGUAUGAUUGAUGCAUCGUAUGAUGUGACAGAAAAUUUCAUUUUCUUUCUUGUGUCAUAAUAGUUUCCAGCCUUCAAUAGGAAUGGCAUCACCUGUUGUCUCUCACAUGGUGGCCCAAAGCCUGAAAGAAAGUGAGAGUUACAUGAAAUUGCAAUGAGCUCAUUACAUGCAUAUCUUUCCUUCUUCAUUUCAAAUGGCAAAGAUAGUCAUGAACUUGAGAGAUGAGAGGCAUGGGGUUUCCUGAAUGAUGCCAUUGUCCCAUAGGCCCUUUCUUUUAGUUUCACGCUGGAAGAGAAAAUUUAGGUGCAGCCCAAAUCAUUUUAAAAAAAAAACUUUAAAAAACAAAAUAAAAUGGAAGUGCUAGCUAUCAUCUAGCUAUCAUCAUUCUACCCCACAAACAUUACUUGUACUCAAAGCUAGGAUUUCCUGGCGGACCUGACCUCUCCCCUUGGUUUCACAAAAGUUGCACCAACAACCACAUUCUGAAUUUAAUAUCGACCAUGUGAACAUUCAAAAUGCAAGAUUAAUAUGCUGAUGAAGAGAAUUUAUUGUGUAACUGCCAAGAAUCAAAAUCACAGAACCCAGUUUGUGGAUUUAAUUUUUUUAAAAAAAAUUAGAUAACUCUGUUCCCAAUUGGGUCCUCAGAGUAUCCAGAAAUUCACAAUUGAGUACACAAAUCCCAAUUGGGAACUCGAUCAAAAAUCUUUAUAUAAAGAGAAAGAACUUGAUUUUAGUUGACGUGCAAGAAGGCCUGAGUGGCCAGGUAAAAAAAAUUAUGGCAGAGGAAAGAGGACAAAUUCAUCUCAAUUACUGCUGAAAUGGUUACACAUGAAAAACAAUGAUAAUUUAAAAGAAGAAAAUUGACAGCUACACUUGAGAGAAGGGACAAAUCAUCUCAAGUGCCGGAAUGGAAAGUUUACACAUGAUUAAAAAACUAUGAAAAGAGAUAAUUGACAACAGUACCUUACCACGAGCGACAAACAAAUCCUCUUUUUACUACAUGCUGGAACCUCGUUUUUUAGACUUUUUGCUUGUCCAUAAAUUUGUGUACAGUACAGCGGCAAAUCUUUACGGCUGCAAAGGUCACUGAAUCAACCGAUGAAUUUGAUGGUUUCAUGACUUUCAUUUUUUCCAUAGAGAACAAGAGAGUGAUGGGCAUAAAGGGUUUCCAACACCUUGUGUCUCUUUUAGCACCAUGUGCCAGGCAUGUGAGAUGUUGGAUUUUCCCAUUGAUUUCAACCGGGAAAUUAGGGGGUCCAUGGUCCAUGAUUAAGACACAUGAUAGUAUUCAAGAUUUUGCUUUUGAAAUACAUUUUGAACGUACUGUGUGAUACUGUGAUUUGGUGAUCUCAGUGGAGAAUAUAACCCCUUGUGUCCAUGCAUGUCACUUCUUUCUCUUCGAAGCUUUCCAAGAUGUAGCCAAGUUUUUCCGCUCUAAGGCCCAACUAGGUACGGAUGGUGGUCCUAUCUAGUUGAAGAAAAGAACGAGAGAUUCAAGAAGAGAAGAAUGCAGCCAUUUCAAGAAUUCAGCUUAUGAACUGAGACUGAUAAGAAAAAGUGGAAAGAUUGGGACUAAACUCCUUUUGAGGUAAUAAUUCUUCAUGAUAAACAAAUGAUGGUGCAAAAAAAUUUAGCAUGAUGUGAUCAUUUGUACAGUUGUGUACGUACAGUUAUGUUGAUUCAACUUUCUCACUUGUAUGGUCAGUGGGGCAUCCUUUGCGUCUGGGAGGCUCUUUAACACCUGUUUAACAACAAGAAAUUGAUGUCAGUAACCUCACCAACAGCAGUGGUAAACGUGAUAGCAGGGAAAUAAUAUGAUGUAUGUGAAAGAAGAUUCAUGGAUAUUUACUUGGUAUAGUUUCCAAGAAACCAUGGCAUCAGUGGCAGCAUAUUGUAGGUUGUUCUUUUGAUAAAACAUCUGCUUCCCAGUUUCCAAGUCUGAUUCUGUUGGGCUUUCUAAGCUGUGAAGUUUCUUUUGAUAAAACAUCUGCUUCCCAGUUUCCAAGUCUGAUUCUGUUGGGCUUUCGAAGCUGUGAAGUUUCGGUAACUUAGAAAAACUACAUACCAAGAGAGGGAAAAUAGAAGACCAGAAGAGGUUGAAACAAAAAUGAGAAAACAAGAGGAGUGGUAGAGCAAGGAUAACUCCAUUGCUUUUGUAUAUCAAAGUAGAAAUAUAUUGAUCAAAGAAGAAGGUGCACGUAACAUUCAGAGAUCUAGAGAUUCUUUGAAACAACAACGAAGAAGAGAACUCCAAACUAAGGAAUACUCCAUUCUCUCUGAAUACCAGUCACUGAAACACUUCUGAAAGCCUGAAAGCAUCAUACUACAAGGAUGCAAGAAACACCAUGCCAUCCACUAACAACUUCUCAAUGAGAGAAUUAAAACUUGAAAGUUGUAGCAUUCUCCUCCAUCCAAACACACAUAUGGCCACACAAUCAGCACAGAACAAUAAAAUUCUGGUAAUUUUUCCUCCAAAUCCACUAUAGCAUAUUGGCAGCAAAUCCCGCAACCUACCAGGAACCACCUAAGACUCACAUCUGCUAGCUUGAGUCCUCUUUGUGCAAUGCUUCAGCAUAUCCAAGAUUUCCAUUUUCACAACCCUACUCCACAAAUACCAUCCAACUUGUCAAUGGAGAAACAAUUGGCUCACGGCCUCCACAGUUUUGGUAACUCAUAGAUCUGAUGUUAGGAGACAGAGCCUGAUGAUGACAACUCCAUUGUUCAUUACUAACCUUCGUAAUGAUGCAGAUAUGACAUGUGCUCGAUGUCCAAACUAAUAUAAGCACAUAAUUCUAAAACAAUUUGCAUCGAAAUGCACUAUAGAAGAACUUAAGAGCAGGACCAAAAUCUCACAGAAGUGAAUUCCCUUUUCUGGCCUUUUAAGAAUCUGAGGAACAAUCACUGUUGAAUUCAAAAAUUUAACCGUGAAUAGGAUCCGGCCAAUGCAAAUUGCCUUAACCUAUUAGCAUAAAUAUGUAUUCUAGACAGGGCACAAAAUCCUGUAGUUGUUAAACCUUCAGUGAUGCCUUGCAUGGAGUCUGCAUAAGAAAUACAAUCAAAGCGUUUCCUUUCUAUUUCAUUUUUUCUUCAUUAUGGCAAAGGCAACAAAAAGUUCUCCUAGAAAUGCAUAGGAUAUGUAUAUUCUGACCGGUCAAGGCAAGUUUGGAUUUAUUUCAAAAACAGGCUGGUCCAACAUUACCAUAGAACAAUGUGGGCACCAAUUUAUAUUCCCACUAUUUUUUUGAUACUGUUGACGGUCCAGUGACUUGAUAAAAUUGCAAAACAAACAUAAACAAUCAGGAAUAAGCUUUCGAAAAUGCAACUCAGAGAACCAAAUAGAUGUCCUUUACUCAGAAGGCAUCUCAGCAUGAUGUGAUAGAUACCUCUUUGCAAACAAGAAUCUUUGCUAGAGCGAAGACCCCAAGUUUUAGGUUCUCUACCAAGCUUUUGAUUUGCAUGAUAGGAAAGGUCCUCCACUGAUUUAACUGAGACAUUAUAAUCUCUAAGAACCUCAGCACAGUCACUGCUUAUGCCAACACCAACCUGCACACAUGCCACACAUUCAGAAUAGAAAAUUAAAUCUGUAAUUAAAAAAAAAUAUAUAUAUCAAAUGUACAUAAAUGAAAUACAGAAACUAGUGCAAGAGAUCUCACUAACUUUUACAAGUGUAGAAUCCUCUAGAAGAAACUGCAUACUUGUGAUUCCAGAAUGAAAAAUAUGCAUCGCAUGACAAAGGCUGGUGUUCCCACAUAUCUGCAUAACUGCAGUUUUUCCAGGCAACACACCUGCAGAGAUCGAGGUUACUGUUCAAAGUGAUGAUCCAUCAAGAAAAAUCUAUUUCCUAAAGGGAAAGGCAGCACAGGAAGGAAAAUGCUUGCAGAGAACAAGAUUUGAUUCAUUUUUCAAUGUAAACACAGUAGGAAUACAUUUUUGGUCACCUCACCCCCUACUCAAUUUUUCAACAUUAGUUUAACAUGCCACUCGGCAGAAUUGAGAAGUUCCACAAUUCAAAUAACUCAGUGUUAGUGAUAAGUCAGGGUCAUUUGUAUUAGAAACAUAAUUGAAAAUUCUGCUAGAACAUUUGACAGUCCGCAAAGCACUGCAACAAAAUGCCAUGGAACCCUGCCUUCUCCUCCAGGAGCACUGGGAAGGCAAGGAAGACAAAACUAACAUUUUAAGUAAUGCACUCUGGUUUUAAGGAAAUGGGUACAUAAUCUAAGGUUGAAGUGAAUGAGCAACUGUCAACUGCAUUUAUUUGAUGACAUGCUGCAGGAUAACAGUUGCCUGGUUGGUUAUAAAUUUCAUGGUUCUAAUGCACAGUGAAGGUGUCUAUACCAAGCUACAAUCCAUAAAUGAAACAUGAGCAUCAUCAAAGAACAAGAUUGUAGUAUAUGAGUAGGAGAUAAAUUUCCUCCAUGCCAUAGAGGAAGUGGCAAAUGGAAUAGUAAACCUAAGCACUCUACAACUAGAGAAUGCAUAGGAGAAGAAAACAUGGCAUAUAAUAAUCAAUAAGCCUAAUCAGUAUGUAAAUCAAGUUCACUUUCCAAAAGUUUUCCUCUGACUCCAAGAAAGCUUUAGGAUAAAACAUUAAACAACAAGCAUAAGCUCCAUAUUUGAUGAAUCAUAAUUGCAUAAGCAUCAUUAUUAUUGAGAGAGAAUAAGAUCAAUGACAAGGAUUUUUGAACGAAAAGGAACAAAAAACAUGCAUAGGAAGGUCCUAUUUAUCUUAUAAUUCUAAUAAUAAAAGUGAAAUAGCUUCCAUAGAAUAAUAGAAGGUCCAAUUUAUCUUAUAAUUCCCUCCAUCCAAAACAUUGAUGAAAACAACUAACAAACAAACCUUUGUAAAUGUGGUUUUCCACUCAAUAUCAAAACCAACAAUAACUUGACCCAUUUAACCCUUUUUAACUUUAAGACUCUGUAAAAGCUCCCUUGCAGCCUUUUCUACCUCCAUAGAAGUUCUGCUAUACAAAAUUUGACCCCUGAACUUCAAUGCAGAAUAUCUCAUCUUCACACUACCUGCUACACAAAGUACAAUAAAUACAUUAAAAUCCCACAAAUAAUCAACUUGAAUAACAAAAUGUAUGUGUUAAAGCUAUGUAACUUAAUUAAAAGUUCAAAGCUUUGUACAAAAUUAAGGACCUCGGUGACAAUUCAUAAGCAAUGCACAUAGAAAAAUGAAUAGGGAACCUGCAAGCGUGACUUUUUGGGGGGCUAUGAACAGUGAUGAUAUGUAAGCAGAAAUUUAGUAAAAAUUAUAUGAACAGAACCGACAUCGAAAUUGUUCCAAUCACACAAUUAUCGACUGCUAAAAAUAAAGUAACGCAGCAUUUCUAAAUUCUAAAUUUCAUUUCUUUCUUCUUAAAUCUUAACUACCAAACGAACCUUACAACAAUGAGCUGCAAAAGUACUAACAGUACUAACAAAACGAACCCAAAUUUAUAACUUAUUCCAAAAAAAGCAUAUUGCUGUUAACAUUUGAAAGGAUAAAUCAAAACCCAGAAUUUUCUAAAGGGAUAUACAAAUGGUUUAGAAAGAUAUAAAAUUCAAGUACAAGUAAAAUUAAAAAAAAAUAAAAAAGUUAUUUUACCUUGACAGGGAGAGAGAGAGAAAAGAGAACUGGGAAAUUGGUGUCGAUUUCUUGGAAGUUAUUGAUCCUUUUGUGGACUUGAAUGUCGUUUCUUGAUUAUAGUUGCUGUUGAUGAUGAUGGCAACGACGACGGUGUUCAAAGUCUCUCAUGGAAAUGAAGAAUUCCAGGGAGAAGAGGAAUUAGGGUUCAAUUGAUUCAAAAGAAAUCACUCUCCCACCUGAUGUUGAAAAAACGCACCGUGUUAUUAAUUUGUAUCAAACGCAGCGUUUAGUCUUGUUCUUGUUAGUUAUGUUGUCACGUGUUGGCUUAGAAUAGAAGAAUAAUUAGUAGUGUUCCAUAAGGACUGUGGACAAUCUUGACGUUUAGUACAGCGGUUUAAUUGUGUUUUUUAAAAUUUUGAGUUUUUUUAGUUUUAAGUUAUUUUUUAUGGUUUUUUUUUAUAGUUUUAGUGUGUUAAUAUUAAAAAUAAAUUUUAAAAAAUAAAAAAAUAUUAUUGUGAUGCAUUUACAAGUAAAAAACACUUUUAAAAACAACUUUUAUCACACUUUCAAACAAACCUGUAAUAGAAUUGAGAGGGGAGAGGAACAUCACGAAAAUAAUGAAUUAACUAAUCCUUUCCCCCUCCCCCCCCUCCGUCUCUCCUUCUCUUUCUUUUUGUUCUUUAUGGGUAUAUUGCCUAUUAUCUUCUAGAUUUGGAAAAUUGCCAAAACUUUUUCCCUUAAAUCCUCUAUAUAAUCUCCAGAUAGGCACUUAUAGAAUCCAGCUUACACCAAGUAGUAUCAGAGCCCUAGGUCUUUGGAUUCGAGAAAUGGCUCUUAAUAUUUGAUCCUAGGACAAAAAAAGAUUAGAGGAUUUUCUUGAAUUUGUCACUAAAAAACAAGCAUUUAAGCAUGAGCGAUGAUGAAGAUGCUAGAAUCAUACAAUCAAAAACUAGAAGUUAUAAAGUCUAUCCACGAUGCCAAGUUUAGAGAGUUGAAAAAACCCAUCAAUGGUUUAUCAUAUCAACAAACAUCAAUCCUAUAGGCUUUACAACAAACAAUGGGAGAAUCUAGUGUUACUAGGAAAAGGUUAACCCACAUCAUGGUGACUUUGCUACUAAAACUUUUAGAACCGGUGAUGAAGGUUGUCAACACUACAAAACACAUAAACUAAAUGAGAUUUCCCUUGUUUUAAUGGUGAUAAUAUGCAUAAAACUUUGACAUGGAAGAGAUUGAUGAUUCUGAGAAACUUAAACUAACUUCAUACUAUCUAGAUGGCAUGGCCCUAUGUUGGCAUCAAAAGUAUAUGAGAAGCUUGGAAGGUCAGGAGGUGACAUGUGGAGAAUAUAUGGAAGCUUUAUGUAUCAGGUUUGGGGGUCAAAAUGACCUAUUAGAAGAACUUAUAGAUCUAAGAUAAGUUAGGAGUUUAUAAGCAUAUAUACAAGAUUUUUUAUGUCCUAUGAAAUAGGGCAUAAAUUAAUGAAAAGCAAGUCAUGGUAAUCUUCAUAAGAGGAUUGUAGAUGGAGAUCAGAAACCUGGUCAACAUGUUUGAACUUAAAGCUUUUAAACAAGCCUAUAACCUAACUCGUUUACAAGACAAUACCUUAUCCCAUAAACAUUUCCACAACCAUUUUAAAUAUUCAUCUCAACUAUCAUACAAACUACCCAAACCAAAUUUAAUCAUUCCCGGUCUCAUCCCAUAUGAUCAAUAUCGUUAGAUGAUCUUAUUAUAUGGGUUUUGUUUGUGAAUGUAUUUAUGAUUAUGGGUGUUGGUAUUGGUGUCGUUAUUUGCACAAAUGCUGGAUUAUAUUAGGGAUCCCGAGCUUGUUCUCCUAUUACUUCUUCAGGCUAAGUUGUUGUUUGACUUUGAACUAAAGUGGUGGGUCUAUUGGAAGGACCCUUACCAAAGGCAUUACGUAGUGCUUACUCGAUAAAUUGGUGAGGAGAGCCACACUAAAUUUUAAAAAUCCAACUCUUUUUGAUAGUGUGAGCAUCACAGUGAGUACGCUCUUCAUUUUUCAUGUUUCUUAGUCGGAGUUGGGUGUUGUAGAUUUUGCGGAUUGGAGCUUUUUGGGAAUCUAUAUUUCAACCUGAUGCAUGUAUGUAUGUCAUUCAAACUGAAUGUAAAUGUAAACAAAUGCAUGUAUAUGCACAUUAGGUAUGGGUUAACCUAUUCAAAUGGCUAAUUUAUGACUUCUUUGUUGAAUAUGGGCAAAAAUCCAUAGUCUGAUUAAUCUAAAAGAUCUUUCCCAAGUCUUUAUCUUAGUUAAUCCUAUACACAUAGAAUUUAUUCACUGUAAUCUCCCAACCUUGGUCUUUGGGCAAUUACAUCAUCUUAGAUUCUUACCCAUAUUUAGAAAGAAAAAAAAUCAUGGUUUUAGCUCAGAAAAUCCUGUAGAGUUCAGGAUUAUUGAUUAGGUCUGUCUUGAUGCAAAAUAAAUUAUUAGGGGGUCCAUACCCUAAAGUAAGGUUCUAGGCCAUUACAUGGAGGGUAAGCUUUCUACCUGGUCUCAAAAGGUCCAUGAACUGCCCAGUGACCACCUUACGUGAAGGAAGUAUAAGGGUUUACAAGGAAUGGUUGAGGCACGGUGUGACCGCCAUUACCAAGUAAACACUCAAUUCAUAGUUGGAUGUUUCACGAAUCUGAACCUCAACUGAAAGUUAUGAGGCAAACCAUUACUCCCUAUCUAACCUAAAAAAAGUUUAUUUACAAAAAUUAAAAUGCAUGAAAGCAUUAAUCCAUACCUGAUGUACUUAUGCAUGAAGUAGUAUAAAAAUGCAUGUUAAAUGUGCUAAAAUUAAACAGACUAAAACAAAUAGGCAAACAAUCAAACUUUAGUCUAACCAAACAAGGCAUUCCCCAGUGGAGUCGCCAUCCUGUCAUGGGGCAGGUAUGUCUCUUAAGAUGUGUGUGUUGAGUAGGGGGUUUAGGUAUAAUAAAAAAGUUAUGAUUAUAAGGUUCAUGAGUCACCAACUGGUAUCAUGGUUAUUAGGAAACCUAUGAUCUGCGAGAGUCUGGGUAAGAGACUGGUUGUGCAAAAAGAAAAUGUAUCACCCUCGGUGCAUCCUACCUAAGGUAAGCUGCAUUGUUGUUUGAUUGUUUUUUUAAGUCAUGUUUCUGUCCAUUGAUCUUUUCUAAGGUUCAAGAUAGAUCUCCCUUCGUGAGGAAGUCUCUACCUUAUCAGGUUAAAUUUUAAUCAUUCUAUGGUCUAAAUUUUAGCACCACAUUUAUUUCACACUUUGUAUCUUUAAUACUUAAGUGUAUACUUUACAAUGUAAUUUUAUACCCUCAAAUAUUAAAGUCUACAGCUAAAUCAUAACACUUUAAAUAUAAAGUGAACAAAAUAAUUAGUGAAGGAUUUUUGAUAUUUUGACCAAACCCAAACAGAUAAUUAUAAAAUGAUUAUAAUAUCCAUUUUACAUUUUAAAACAUGAGAAAUAUGCCAUUUUUUUAAUGAAAAUAUGCUUGGAAAAUUUUUAGGAUUUGACCAUAUGCACGAAAACAAAAUAUUUUUUGUUUUUUUAAGAGGAAAUUAAUUAAUUUUUUUUAAUUUUCAAUUUUUUUAAGAAAAGUUUUUAAGAAAACUGAGUAUUUAAUACUGGAUCUAUAUCUUACAGUGUAAAUAUACAGCCUGGUAUUAUGCAAAAUUAUUGGAAAAACAUGCAAGAAAAUGACAAAUAUUAUGAAAGGACUCUUGGAUUUUUUUGGAUUUUUUUUUGUUUUUUUAUAUUAUAUUAUUAUUAUUAUAUAGGUUGGGCUCGACCCGACCAUUUGGGCCGAACCCAGUCAGGUCGGGUUAGGUCGACUGGUGGCCCAACAAACCUGGCUUCUCUCUUUUUUUGGUCUAGGUCGUGCUAGCCCAGCCAUGUGGGCAUGGGCUUCGAUCCUAGACCUAGUUUAGUUGGGCCGGUUGAGGCUCGAUAACACUCGUUUUUCUUUAUUAUGUUGGGUUGAAACAGGUCCAACCCAUCAUUACAUGCAAAUUUUGCAUGCAGUGGCUGAGGGGUAUGGAGAAGAAGAAGAAAAAAGACAGGGGGAAGGUUUACCUGGGCAAAAAAGUUGUUGGUGACGUUCCUAGUGGAGUUGGGUUAUCCGAUGUGUGAUCGAUAGAGGUAACAAUGACGAAGGCACGACGGGGGAAAAGAGGUGGCCGAGAGGGGAGAAAAAAAACUACGGUAAAAAGCUGAUUUUCCCAACUUUGGCCUCAAAUGUUUUCAUGUUUAGGAUAUGAAAUCCACUCCUAUUUAUAGGGGGUAGAAGAGGGACACUUUAUCUUUUUUGGGGAUAAAUCUUAGCCCUUAAUUUGAACCGGAAGGAUCUCAACCGUUGGUUCAAAGUUGCCAUCAUGAAUCGUCAGAUUUUGACAACUUAAGGUUGCCUGAGUUGGUCUUGUUAGGGCGGCGCCGAGGCCAUUGUGGUGUCAAUCGGUCAGAAAGAACCAUACUAUGGUUUGGUCAAGUGUUAGGCCAUCAUGUUGGUGUAUGCUUUAAUCAGUUUGAUUGAGAGAUGAAACAUUAAAUGUCACUAAAAAGUAGCCACACAAACAACUUUUUUGGGUGAAAAUAAAGAAAAAGAUGAAUAGUAGACCAGACAACAAGUCGUCUAGUCUGUCUUUUAUUGGUCAAAACAUUGUCAUUUUGUCCUUUAGGGUUUUUAAUUUAGGGAUUUAACAAAAUGUCAAUUUAGUCCCUCGACUUUUGAUUUCUUUUAGUUGCAUCCCUAAUUGGCCUUGAACUUUUAAUUUUGCCCCUGAAAAACUUCAACAUCGGACCUAAUACGUUGUUAAGGUAGCGCGGGUCUGACACACAUGCUAGACCCAAUACACUUUGACUUAAUAGUGUGCCAAGCCCAAGAUAAUGUGGGUUUCGCACACAUGAUAGAUCUAAGGCGUUUGGACUUGGCAGUCAGCCAAGCCCAAGAUAACGUGGGUUUAACACGCAUGCCAGACCCAAGGAGUUUGGACUUGGUAGUAAGUCAAGCCCAAGAUAAUACUCUCAUGGCAUGUCCAAUGGAGUGACUAACCUCAAUUGACUUUAACCUCGGAGAAGAACUCAGUCUUAUAGGCUUAACUACACUUGACGUCUUAAACUCGAAUCUCUAAACACCUUUUUAGAUGUAUAAAAGUCAUUCAAAGACCCUUUUUAGAUGUAUUCCCAUCAGGUAAGGGAUAUUUAUCCCUCAUUAAAUGCUAUUAGGAUAAUUACACUGCAGACCCUUUUUUUUUUUACAAAAAGACAAAAUUUAUAGGCUAUAAAUACAUCAUGAAAGCUUCAUAACAAGGUUCACAAUCUCCAAUUCUAUACUGCAUUUAUAUUUUCAUAACAUCUCUUUCUAGAAUAUUCUUGUAUUUUCUCUCUCUAAAAAGAUACUUAUUUAUGCAUCAGAGAGUCCUCACCUCCACCAAAUGGGACCUUUUGCAGGUAUUAAUCACAAGCAGCUUUGGUCAAUCAAGGACCAAAUAUAAACUUUCAACUACCUUGACAAGGAAGAACGGAGGAGAUUGUCAGGACCAAUUGAUUAACCAAUUGUCCAACUUGGAAGCCUUAUUUCCAGACUAGUUGGAUUUUUAGGACAUCAUCAUUAAUCAUAUGCUUAUAUACAAUCACGGUUACGAAUGUCUAGCAAUAAUGAAUUUAUAAAAUAACAAGCAUAAAAUCUCAAGACUACAAGUAUAAAUCAUUAAAAUAUUGUUUAUAGUGUUCGUGACAUAACAAUUGUCAACUAUUUAACAGCUUGGACUUAAAGUGAACAAGUCUUGGUUAUUUUUGUUUUGAUUCUAGUCAUUCAACACAAGUCAUAUCCAUGAUCCAUUUUAUAUAGUUGGAUCAUCAUCAAAACACAAAUGUUUCACCAUUAUUUGAUGGUACAAGAUCAACCCCUCUAAUUUAAAACUUGAAGUUUAAUAGGUUCAAUAUUUGAAUUCACAUUACAUUACUAUAAUAUGUAGCCUUUUUAACAAGAAUACAUGAGGAAACUUACUUAUCUCACUGAUCUUUUAUUAUGUGUUGGUUUUUCUCUUGGAUUGUAUUUUUUAUAUAAUAUUAUUGAUAAUGCAUUGGAUGAAGAAAGAGGAUAUGACGGUAAGAAAAAAUUCCCUAGUUAUCUCUUAAAAAUCACCUAUGCCCUAAUCUACAUUAAGGUAGUGUUUAGGAAUGCGGUUGAAACCGUGUUUUUUAAAAAUUUUAAAUUUUUGUUUUUAUUUAUAAUUAAUUUUUUUAUAUUUUCUGAUUAUUUUGAUAUGCGAUAUUACAAAAUUUUAAAAAUUAAAAAAUAUAUUAUUUUAAUAUAUUUUUCAAUAAAAAAAAUAUUAAAUUAUAAUUAUUACUGUACUCUCAAACUGAAUAGAUUUUGAAUCAAUAACAUGCUUUUCAAAAACUCUCGUAAAACCAUAUAAAAAAAAAAGGAAAGAAAAAACCCAGCCUUCUUUAACGCAACAUGAAUUACUGUGGAGCAAACUUGUUUUAUUCUAGGUCUAUGCUCUUCAUUUGUUGAAGAAGUAUCUUCGCGCCCUCCUAUUUCGAACAAAGACAACUUGCUCAGGAUGAAAUCCAUGGUCAGGAACUCCAUUGCUCGUCGUGUUGUUCCUAAUCAACGAAACUUCAAUUUCCAAAUUCAAAACAAACAGCAAACCUUAAACACUGACUCCAAUAUUCUCGUUAAUGGCUGCAACCGAUUCUCCUGUUGCUCCUCCCUUUUCCAAGCCUAUCAACAAAGCCCCGAACCUCAAAUUCAACCACAGCUCCCAAACUUGAACACAGACCCUCGACCAUGGAACCCUAGCUCCCAAACUUAAGCACAAAUCACAAACCCUCAACCAUGGAACCCUUCUAGUCAAUGUCUGCCAUUACUUGUUGUGUUGUUGCCAAAUUAAUUCACCCUUAUACUCCUCUCUAAAAAAACUUCUUUUUUUUUCAAUUUCCAAAUUGAAGCACAAAUCACGAACCCUAAACCAUGGAACCCUUCUAACCAAUGAUUGGUGUUGUGUUGUUGCCAAAUUAAACCACCCCCUCUCUCCUUUAUAUAUAUAUAAAAAACCCUUUCUUUUUCAAGCUCCUCCAUUUGCUUAUGCUCCUUCUUUUCCCAGCGCAUGGAGAGAGGACGGGAAAGGAAGAGAAGAGAUAAGUUAAGGAACGAUAGAAUUAUGUGUUUCAAGAAAAGCUUUUUCUCCCUUAACUGAGAAGCAAUGAUCAUUGAUUGGGAAGAUUGAUGGGAUAUAUAUAAAAAUAAAAAUUUACUUUAAAAUUAAUUUUUAUUUUUUUAAUUAAAUAUAUUUAUAUCAACUUUAUCUACAUCUUUUCUUUAAUAAAAUAUUAACCAAACACUAGAAAAACAAUGAUUUAGUCUGGCUUAAUUUUUUUUCUUUGUAAUGUAAUAAUUUAUAAUUGUAAUGGUAAUCUAAAAUAAUCUUAAGGUAUUAUUAUUAAGGUUUUUAAACAUAUUUAAAAUUUUUAUGAUGAUCAAAAUAAAGUAUUGAUAAAAUAAAUUGUAAUUUAUUAUUAUUAUACACACACUCACUUGUAUAGUCGUCAUGCACGAGAAUUUUAUGAAUACUUUUACUCUUUAUGAUUUAAGAAGUUUAUUAUAUUUUAUUUAAGAUUUUAAAUAGAAUUAUUAAACCUAUAGUUGAUUUGGUGUAAGAUGUCAAUUAUAAAUAGAAUGAGUUAACCUAAAUUUAGUCCGAUCAAAUGAUUGGUUGAUUAAUAUAAGAUCCGGAUAGUAAAUUAUGAAUGGGUUAAUCUAAUUUUUUUAAAGUGAAAAUAAUAUUAUUUUAAUUUUGAAAUAUUAAUAAGUUUUAAUCAGUCAUAUUUUUAAUAUCAACUUUUUUAUUUUUUUGUAUAACUCGAUCCGAAUUAAAUUUUAUAACUCUAGUGUUGCGAGUAUAAUAACUUUUAUUUUUAGAUAUAAUUCAAAAUAUAUUUCAUUUAAAAAACAUUAUAUUUUAGUAUUUUUGAUAAUUUUAAUAUAAUAAUAUAAAAAACUUAAAAAAAUUAUUUUAAUACAACUCCUUUAUUUUUUUAUAACCCAACCUAGAUUAGGUUUUAUUAGUAGUGUUUAAAAGUGGAGUGAAUUGUUUUUUUAUGUAUUUUAAAAAUAAUUUUUACUUAAAAAAAUAUCAAAUUAAUAUUUUUUAUAAUUUUAAUAUAUUAUAUCAAAAAUAAAAAAAUACUUUUAUAUAUUUUUAAGCUAAAAACAAUUCUCAUCACAAUUCUAAACAUAUAAUAUAAUAAAUAGGUACACUAUAAAAUAUAAAUUCAUGACAUGAACAUCACAAGUCUCAAAAGUGCCAAAACCUCCCUCCCCCUCCCUCCUUUCCAAAUUUCAACACGCACCACCAACACAAACACAAACACGAACACUGAAACACUCCUUAAGAAACGACGAUGCAUUUCUCUCUUUCUUCUUCCCUCUCUCGCUAAAACUGAAACUGUUCCUCUUCUUCAAUCAAUCAAUCAAAGAUGAGUACAGUAGACAAGAUGCUGAUAAAAGGAAUCCGGAGCUUCGACCCGGAAAACAAACACGUCAUCACCUUCUUAAGGCCUCUUACUCUCAUCGUCGGCCCCAACGGCGCUGGAAAAACCGUAAUAAUCAUCACUAUCAUUUCCUUUCCUUAUUAGUUUCCUUUUUUUUACAAAUAUUAUUUAUUUUUACAGACGAUAAUAGAGUGCUUGAAAGUUGCAUGCACCGGAGAGUUGCCUCCGAAUGCUAGGUCUGGUCACAGUUUCAUCCAUGACCCUAAGGUAACUCUAACUUUUCUCUCUCUAUUUUUUUAAUUUUGAGAGGACCGGUUGGUUAAUUAGUUGAUUAUCUGUUGUUGUUAGGUUGCCGGUGAAACGGAGACGAAGGGGCAAAUUAAGCUGCGGUUUAAGACCGCGGCCGCGAAGGAUGUGGUGUGUAUAAGGUCAUUUCAGUUGACACAAAAGGCGUCAAAAAUGGAGUAUAAAGCCAUUGAGAGUGUGCUUCAAACGAUCAAUCCACAUACUGGAGAGGUAACAUUUCUAUGAAUUCUUGUUGUUUUGUUAGAAUUGAAGGUUUCACGGAGAAAAAAUUGAUAGCAGCCUGUUAGGGUUCAGAUUAUUAGUGUAAGGCUAAUGGAUAUUCUUUCAUGGCAAAAUUAGGGUAGUUGUGAUGCAAAUGUAUGCGUGUUUUUUUAACACUAUCUUGUGUGAAUCUUGAUACGGUCGUCACUUUUUUUUCUUGGUUGUUGUUGGAAUGCAGAAAGUCUGCCUUAGCUAUAGAUGUGCUGAUAUGGAUCGAGAAAUUCCUGCUUUGAUGGGUGUCUCGAAGGCCAUUCUAGAAAAUGUUAUAUUCGUGCACCAGGAUGAAGCUAAUUGGCCUCUACAAGAUCCUUCUACGUUAAAGAAGAAAUUCGAUGAUAUCUUCUCUGCUACUCGGUAUUCUUUGAGCUUUUCCCCUGAAAUAUUGAGAAAAGAUUUUAUAGUUAUCAUCUGUCACUGAGUGUGCCGUUAGUUGCUACAGCCACUUGCUUUUUUCGUUGUGGUUAAUUGUGUUUAAUUGCUUCACUUGUAUUCUCUUGCUUUAACUUGCUUUCUUUACUACACUGUAUGAUGGUCUCGAGUAUGUGAAAUAUGCAUUCUAGAACACGUAAACAAGAAGUCUCUUAGUACCUUAUUUAAUUUUAUCUCCGACUUUGCAAGUUUACUCAUUUUUUUCUUGGAACAGAGAAUGAACUUGAUAUUGUUUUAAAGUUUCACUCUACAGUAAAUUGUAAGAGUGAAAGCUACAGUUGAAACACGCAUUAUUAAAUAAAUGUUUGUAAGAAAUGAGAGUGUAAAGAUCAAAGAUUGAUAUAGAGCUCAAGUAUUCAAGUGAUGUCUUUCUUGGUGAUCAAGAGCAUGAAAAGCAUCCUAUCUAUAUUUUAAAUACCACUUAUCAAAACAAAGCAGAUUCAAAAUGCUAAUCUUUGCAAAAUAAUAACAGUUAGGGAAAUUGUUUCCUGCUAUUUGUUGAUGUUUUAAGAUUGAAUGUGUUCAUGACAUGGAUUAUAUAUAAAAGAAUGCAAAAAAGUUUAUGCAAUACAACAUUGAAGCCAUGCUCAAUUAAACAGAUAUUUUAUCACUUGGUGCCCACUUCAUUUCAUUUUGGUAAGCAUUUUGCUGAUCCUUAGCAAGAAGCUAAUAAUACUUUUGCCAUGCUCAAUUAAACAGAUAUACAAAAGCCUUGGAGGUCAUCAAAAAGCUUCACAAGGAUCAAGCUCAAGAGAUAAAGACAUACAAACUAAAAUUAGAGAAUCUUCAAACCUUGAAGGAUGCUGCAUAUAAGGUUGUAUUUCUUUUUUCCAUCCUUUUCUUCUUAUAGCAAGCUGGUCAUAUUUAUUAGUUUUUCAGGUCUUAUUUUUUCUACUUUUUUAUUUACUAUGGCAGUUCUUUUUGUUAUUUCAUGACGAAUUGAUAAUCUGUCUUGCAAAUGAUCUUCUGACUGCUAAGAAAGUUGUAAUAUCAUUGUUUAUUUGGAAUAUAUAGUAUCUCUAUUUCAAUCCUUCAAUCUCUCUCUUUCUCAUGAAAGGCAGUGGCAACAGUGUAUGCUUGCAUUCUCUGUCAAACUAGUAGUGAAGAACCGGAGUGUGAUCUCGUCUUUACAUCAAUGAACGAGACUAUGGGCGGAUUAUAAUUUCUCUUCUGCAUUAGAACAUGACAUCACUGUUGACAUUAAACUAUUAGGAAUAUGACCUAUAAUGUUUCCUUUUGAAAUGCAUUUGGAAAAUUCAUUUACUUGGUCCGAAUAACUGACAUGGACAGUGAUUUUCUUUUGCUUUGUAGUGUGCUUUCAGCACUUGUUUUUCUUAUUAUCAAUAACUAUGUAGGAUCCAAAACUCAGAUCUUCAUUUGCUGUUCCAGUGAAUUAAAUAUCAUGGGCUGUGGAUAUCACUCAAUAGUUUGUUAAAUUUGAAGCUGUCAGGGUUUUCACUCUAUUUUAGGCUUCAUGUCAUUUAAGCACUUAAUUUUGAUCAGGCUUCACCUGUAGAAUCACAGCCUGUUGUGAUAAGUAUAUCUUAAAAGUAAUGUUGCCCUGUAGUGUGGAUCCUGUGGCUUGGAUUGUUUACUUUCAGAGAUGAAGCAUGGCUUGUAGUAAGAUUUCAGAUUGGAGGAAAUGUAGGAUUCUGUGCCUUUGUGUUGGUUUUGCUGUCAUUUAGGUAUGUUUGGAUAACUAGGAGUCGUAGGGUUUUUAGCAAUCUUUUCUUCUCCAGACAAGUGGGGUGAGGGUUAGGACAAUAUUUCUUGCAUCCUUGUGGUCUCGUGGCUCAGGAGCUUUUAGGGAGUUUCCCUAGCUGACUUUCAGGAGGAUUGGACCAUGCUUUAUUUUUUUCUUAAGGACUUUCCUUUUCCCUUUGUUUGGAGGAUGAUUUAUUCUCCAAUAAGUUUUUGUACGUUCUUUUCUUUAAUCAAGCAUUCUUCUUUUAUAAAGAAAAGGCAAAAGUAUUGGAUGGAAGCUCUUAACUCAUUAUUUUGAUUGAGCUGUCUAUUUAAACAUUGACUUAGUGCAUGUUUCCUUUUCAUUUUGCUAGAUUGGGCCAAGUGAUAGUGUAACACUUAAUAAGCAUAAAGUUGGUAUGAAGGUGCUUCUAUGUAGCACUUAUUGAUGUCAAGUUUUGUUUGUACAGCUUCGGGAAAGCAUUGGUCAAGAUCAAGAGAAAACAGAAAUUUUAAAAGUCCAAAGUCAGGAGUUAGAAAGUAACCUUCAGAAUUUGGAUGCAAAAAUUCAUCAUACUGAAGUAACUCUGAAAGAUAUGAGAAAAUUACAGGACCAAAUAACAAUCAAGACUGCUGAAAGAAGCACUUUGUUCAGGGAGCAGCAGAGGCAGUAUGCAGCUCUUGCUGAAGAAAAUGAAGGUUUGCCAUGCAUGGGAACAGCAAUAUUGUUUUUCUGCAUAUCUCAUAUUCAUAUACACAUAUAUGUCAAGUCUUAGAUGUGUGUGCUUAUUACCAUGUCUUUAGAACCAAUUCCUUGAGCAGUAAAGGAAGAUGCUGAUUUUCUGAAAUCAUUCUCUACUUAUUUUUCAUGUACAAUUCUCUCUGUUUCAGACACUGAUGAAGAACUACAGGAGUGGAAAACCAAGUUUGACGAAAAGAUUGCAAGUUUGGAAUCGAAUAUUUGCAAAUUGGAGAGGGAAAUGAAUGACAUGGAGACAAAGGGUUCUUUUCUUAAGCAAAACAUUAAUGAGUAUAUCCGAGAGAUCAGCAGGCUUCAGACUGAAGCUGAGGUAAUGCUAAUGAAACUAUUCACAUUUGAUAUUUAAAAACUGUUUAAUUUAUGGCAGAGCUUGCAAAUGACUCCCUUUCUUUUGAAAAUUAGGCUCAUGCAUCCUUGAAGAAUGAAAGAGAUUCCAAUAUCCAAAAAAUGUAUACAAGACAUAAUCUAGGUCCUCUUCCUAAUGCCCCAUUCAGUGAUGAUGUUGCUUUGAACCUCACAAAUAGAUUAAAGUCAAGGUUGGUGGAUCUUGAUAAGGAUCUACAAGAUAAAAAGGUAACCCCCCCCCCCCCCCGAUAUACCAUUCCUUUACCUGUGUGCCUAUGUAAAACACAAAUUGUAUAUGCUCAAAUUUCUGUUCUUCAAUUGGCAAGUUAAAGAUUUCAAAGCGUUUCUUGUUCACUUGAAGACUGAAAUUACGCUCCAUGAAAUCUUUGAAGCUUUAAGACAUGAACUUGAUUUGCCUGUUAUUUCAGACAUCAAAUGAUACUGAAGUUAAGAGAGCAGAGAAUUGCUACUGGGAUGCCAAUGAACGCUGGAAAAAUACGGAGGCUCAAAAACAGGCUAAAGUAGAGAUAAAGGUGGGCACUAUUGGGGGUUUCUGGAAGGGUACAUGUUUUAUUUCUAGAGUUGUAAGUUUUAUGUGUGACUCUUGAUAUUGUAACUUUAUGCAGAAUAGCAUUUUAAAUCGCAUUACAGAGAAGGAAAGGGAGCACUCUUCCUUUGAAGAACAAAUUUCACAUGUUAAUCUUUCUCACAUUGAUGAAAAAGAAAAGAACAUGGUGAGGAUGUCUUUGCAUAAGAUGUACCCAAGUUUGCUUAUUUUAACUGAAAACAAUUGAAAGAGAAGUUCCUUGUGAUUUUUUCAGCGAAUUGAGGUUGAGAGAAAGACAAAUCAGCUAGCUGAAAGAGAAUUUGAAUCACACAUUCGACAAAAGCAGAGUGAGCUGUAUGGCAUAGAGCAACAGAUUAAGGUUCUUAAUCGAGAGAAAGACAUUUUGGCUGGAGAUUCUGAGGACAGAGUGAAACUGUCUCUAAAGAAAGUAGAGCUGGAAAACCAUAAAAAGAAACAUCGAAAAAUGUUAGUUAGAUCUUUUUUGCCUUGCUUAUAGGACCGGGCAAUCCAUACUCUUUUGUUUCUUCACGUUGUCUCCAUCCCUCUCUCUCUCUUAUCCCUCAUAGCUAUUUUUUUUUUCCAGAAUUGAUGAAUGCAAGGAUAAAAUCAGAGGAGUGCUAAAAGGGAGGCUUCCUCCAGAUAAGGAUUUGAAGAAGGAAAUUACUCAGACCCUAAGGUUAUUCUAUUCUCUUUAAUUUGUUCUGUGCUCACAGAUAACAUCUGUACAAGAAUCCGUUUGUGGAUUUUAUUGAUGCUUUUUUGAUUCAUUUUUGGUUAGCAGAAAAUUAAACAUGUGAUUGCUUGAUUUUCUGACUUUUUUUUUCUUUCAAUUCUUGUCAUUUGCCAUACUGUAGCAUAAUUUUUCCCUUAUUCAUUAUUAUUGAUAGUGCUUUUACAACCUCCUUCAAAAGUUGUGGCUUUGUAUUGAACCCUAGUGAAUUAUAUAAAUUUUGAGAUUUCAGAUCUCUCCUCAUAAGAUGGUCUUUCAGAGCCUGCUAUUGGUUUGUAUGUGAGAAUUGCCUGGCAAGCUUUCUGGAUGUUUUAACUUUUGUCAACACCUUCUUCAAUGAGAUAUUGACAAGUUGAUAGUGCUCCUGCUGCAGGGCUCUUGGGUUGGAGUUUGAUGACUUGAAUAUGAAAUCCCGUGAAGCUGAGAAGGAGGUAAAUGUGUUGCAGAUGAAAAUACAAGAAGUUAAUAAUAACCUUUCCAAACAACGCAAGGACAUGGACUGUGAGUAUUGCUUCACAUCUAAAAAUGAAGUACUGCUUAUGUUUAUCCCGUGGAUCAGUCAGAAAUAUUGUUACUAAUUGUUGGUCAUGCAUUUCCUUGCUCUGUUAAAGAGUCUGAUCUGAAAUUGUUAAUGAGAAUUUAUCCUCACUGUAGUGGCGGUAACUUUUUGCAGGACUUCUUAGGCUACUUUAGUUUUUUAAGGGGGUCGAAGGGUAUGUGUGUUUGGUGAGCAAAUGGGACUGGAGUGUACUGUAUGAGAAAUGACCGGGCUUUCACACGAGGGUAGGUUGACCAAAAUUGGGUGCCAGACAAGACAAAAACAAAUUGCCUUGUGUGCUCCAAACAACAUUACUAGUGGAGUCAUCCUGUUCAGUCCCAGUACAUAUUGCUACCUCAGUUCCCUUUGUUUUAUUUAUGAAUACUUUUGGGGCUAGGAUUUUAUGGCUGGUAUUCUAAUCUUUGUUUAAAUAACAAAUUUUUGGCUGUUCUUUUGAGAACUUUAGGGUUUGGAUAGUUCAGAACAUUUUCUCUCAUAAAGCAUAGGCUUCAGUGAAGUGUGCCUCCACUGAAUUGUGCUCAUGACUGUGAUUUAAGAAUCCCGGAACUCGGCAUUUCCAUUUUGCUUUUUCUUUCUUAUAAUCUCUUGCUCAUGGUGCUUAAAAAUUGUUUUCUGACCUAUUUAUUGACACGUGGACUGGAUAUAAUGUAGCUAGGAAGAGAUUUAUUGAAUCCAAACUCCAGUCCUUGGAUCAACUGUCAUUUAGUGUUGAUUUAUAUCUCAAAGCAUUGGAGUCGUCCAAGGAGAAAAGAGAUGUUCAGAAAAGGUUCCUCUUUUUGCUUCCUACAUGAUAUAAACAUUAUGUGUAUGGGCUAUUGGACAUGUUGACAUAUAAUUUCUGUGGCUAUGAAGAUACUAAUAUAGGGUAUGGUGUAUCACCUGCAGCAAGUACAAUAUUGCAGAUGGUAUGCGGCAGAUGUUUGAUCCUUUUGAACGAGUUGCCCGUGCUCAUCAUGUGUGCCCUUGCUGUGAACGCCCUUUCUCUGCUGAAGAGGAAGACGAAUUUGUUAAAAAGGUUUGUUAUAUGUAAUCCAAUCACGCAUUGUGCUGUGGUAUGCAUAUCUAAGAGUAUUAUCCUAUAGCGAUACUCAGAUAGCCUGAAACUUGAGAGGGAAUGCUGUUUAAGCUUCAUGUAUUAUUUUCUGAAUAUGCUGAUAUCUUCUGUGGCAUGCAGCAAAGAGUGAAGGCUGCAAGUUCUGCAGAGCAUAUGAAAGUGUUGUCUAUGGAAUCUUCAAAUGCAGACACUCUUUUUCAGCAGUUGGACAAGCUUCGUAUGGUUUAUGAAGAAUAUACCAAAAUUGGCAAGGAAACAAUUCCUCUUGCUGAGAAAAACUUGAGUGAGCUAACUGAAGAGCUGGAGCAAAAGUCUCAAGCCCUUGAUGAUGUAAGUACAGUAUUGCUUCUGGCACUUUUAACUUUUAAAUAACUUUUGUCUGCUGAACUGGAAUGCUGGACUUGUUAUAAUGGAGCUGUCUUUGGUUUUUAUAUGCUAUAGCUCAGAACAAGUUUAUACGUCACCCACGGGCAUCAAUGAUAUACUGUCUGCUCCUGGGAAAGCAUGUGAACCAUAGUCUCACUUAAUUAAUUAAUCAAUCUGUGAAAAAAAUGUUCUGUUCAUAACUCUUUUUUCCUCUCAAUUUGUUAUCUAAUAUUUAGCUUUUAGAUGUUGGACUGUAUUAUGUUGUCAAGAAUUUUUAGCGAUGAUAAGGAUAAUGUAGUCAUGACACUGGAGAUCAGUGGUUAUAACAUGAGGGAUUGAUUUUUUUCAAGUGGGAGCAUUUCAAGAACAAGAGAAAGUCCCCAUGUCACGUCUUUCAUAAUUUCCCUAGAGGACAUUCGUAGAAAGGGCAUGACACAAAUAUAAGCUCAACAAAAUCCAGGGCUGACAUUGCUGAAAUUAUUGGAGAACAGUUUCUUGGAAGAUGAGGACUGUCUUAUAUAUCUUUUGUUGAAGAAGCAAUAGAUGUCUCCCUGGAUUGAACCUAAUUGGAUGGAAAUCUACAAUUGGAUUUUGAAUUUUUAGCAAAGACACAGGCGUCAGUAUGCCUGGACUGCAUCAUAUGGAAGAGCCGAAUAGACAUAGUUCAAGACUGUAGAAAUGCAGCUGCCUACUAUCACACAAAAGUUGCAACUUGCAGAGAAAACUAGUGAAAUUAAGUAAAUAACCAUGCAGCCGACCCAAAAUAGGGAGUGCAGCCCCAUGCGGUUGACUUUAUUGUUGUUGGGUUGAUGGUUUUAUGCUCUAUGUAGUGGGUUGAACUUUAUUUUGAAAUAGCCCUUCCAUAAAAGUCAAAAGUUUUUUUCUUUUUUGCAAUUAUUUAUAAUCCUUUUAAUAUAAUUCUUGUAUCAUUUCCAAUUGCAUAUGGUAUCAUGGCAGCUAGUGGAUAAGGAGGGCCUCAGAACUCAGACGUGCUCUGUUAUCGUGGAUUUAUUAUUCUUUAAUGUGAUAUUUGGUGGCUAAUCAUUGAUUUUGCUUGAUGAUUGUUUAGUUAUGAGUAUGACAGUGCAGAAUGGUUUUGCUCAUAGGUGUUGGGUGUUUUAGCUCAAACAAAGGCCGAAAAAGACUCAGUUGAGGCCUUGGUGCAACCUGUUGAAACAGCUGAUAGGCUUUUCCAAGAAAUUCAGACUUGGCAAAAGCAAGUCGAUGAUUUAGAAUACAAGCUUGAUUUUAGAGGGCAAGGUGUUAGAACCAUGGAAGAAGUGCAGUCAGAGCUAAGUAGUUUGCAAGGCACAAAGUAUAGCAGCUUAUCCCUUAAUUAUCUAUUUGAUUUUUUUUCCAGCAUACUUAUCAAGCAUUUUCCAGUUAGUGACCGCCCACAUUCUCAAAAUACAUGUUUUUUUUAUCAUUUUAUUUUAUUUUGAUUUACAGUUCUGAAGUUGCCAUAUCAUUUCAGGAUAUAUCAGUAUUUUUUUUCUUCCUCUUUUUCCUUGAGCUUUAUCUCUCUCUUGACAGGGAUAAUUUGCAUAAUGAAGUGGAGAAGUUAAGGGAUGAGCAAAGGUACAUGGAAAAUGAUUUAUCACAUAUUCAAAUUCGGUGGCAUGCUCUGCGGGAGGAAAAAGUUACGGCAGCUAAUAUAUUGCGUGAUGUUAAAAAGUCAGAAGAAGAGUUAGAACGUUUGGUAGAGGAAAAACAUCAAGUUGAGCUGGAAGAGAAGGUUGUCUUUAUUUUCUUAAUUGUUAAUAGUCCAUGACUGUAUAUUUUCUAUUUUCAUUUAAUUUUAAAAUCUUGUGACCGUUUUGUUGAGCAUCUGUUUUUGUCUGUUUCUAAAGAUUUUAGAACUUCUGAAACGACAAAAUGUGGAUUUCAAAAUUUUCAUGAUUGGUUUUAUGUAUUAACUUUCCAUUUCAAUUAAGUUUUUCCAGUUUGGUGGUCAAUGCUUUGAGAGAAUUUGACUGAAUGCUUGAUGCUGCGAGUUGUGACUUUCUUGGUGUAGUGCAGUAACCUGGAGUCCAUGGCUAUAACUUGCUCUGAUAAUUAGUUUACUAAAUGCAGUCUUAAUAAAAAACAAUUCCUUUUGCUGUAAUAUAAUUGAUUUUCUGUGGUCCCUUUCCAGCAUUUGGCAGAGGCUGUUGGUCCUUUAUCUAGGGAGAAAGAAAAAUUACAGGGCGAACACAAUGAGUUGAAAGUCCAACUUGAGCGGGAAUACGAGGAACAAAAAAAACAGUUAGACAACUUUAAACAGGAGGUGGACACACUUGUUAGAAUUGCAUCAAAGAUUAGAGAGUAAGUUCUAUGAAACCGAGCUUUUCUCGGGUGUUGUAUCUAAAGUCUCUAUUUCUUGGUAAUCAAAGCCCAAAGAUCUAUGAACUAUCCCAUGUUUGACCAGCCAAGCAGACAGAGGACCCUGUAUAAUUUUUCUCUCUUCCCCAUUCUUGUUUGUACAAGCAUUUCCUAUUUCCAAUGAAAUUGAGGGGGAUGAUUUUCCUCAUUUGCAUUGAUCAUCAAUUCUGUUUGCCAGGUAUUAUAAUUUAAAGAAAGGUGAAAGAUUGAAAGAAAUGCAAGAAAAACUAUCUUUAUCCGAGUCCCAACUUCAAGGUUGUGAUGCUAGGAAGCAGGAAAUUUUAGCAGAACUCAAUGACAGUAAAAAUGCAGUGCGAAGUCAAGAUAACCUUAGAAGAAGUAUUGAGGACAACUUAAAUUACAGGAAAAUAAAGGCUGAAGUGGAAGAGCUUACCAGGGAGAUUGAAUCAUUGGAAGAGAGAAUACUGAAGAUUGGUGGGUUUUCCUCAUUUGAAGCUGAACUUGCAAAGCUAUUACAAGAAAGAGAGAGACUUCUUUCAGAGGUAUGUAUGAAAAAUAAUAUAUCUUUCUUUGAGACUGAUAUUUUAUGUCCCUGCUGAUGUACCUUCCUUUUCUUAUUUGCCAUUUUAUUUUUAAGCUUGGUUAACCCACAAGUCUGUCAUAACAAAACUUUAUACUGUUAAUUUAAAUAAGUGUUAGGUUAUAGAGUAGAUCUAAUUGAGACUAUUAUUGAAUAAUGCAAUUUUGGUGUUUCAGGUUUGAUUUGUUUAAUGUAUGGUGACCGGGCCUUUUCAUGUUGUAACUUUAUCUUAAUACACUGGAUUAAUUGUUAGGAUACACAAUUUGAUCUUAUUGACGUCUGUUAAGGAAUAACACGGUGGUUACGCUUUGGGUUUAGUGUAUGGUGGCUAUGGAUCUUUUCAUUUGAUAACUUAAUUAUUCUGGUCAUAUGUUUAGGGUUGUGUCAGAACCUGCUGCUUUGUUCCAUGGAUUAAUCAUUUGGUUUGUUUGUUACUUCAUCUGCCUCUGCAUGUUCUUGAGACUGAAUUUGCCUUACACAUAUGAGGAACUUCAACGAAAAGUAGAUUCUCUUUUGAUGCAGUCCUAACCUUGGUGGCUUAAACACUGGUAUUGCAUACUCGAGUCUUGGCUACUAGAGAAUUAGGAAAUAAUGUCUUGAAGUGUUUUAUUAGAGGAGGUGUUGCUGGGUUUGAACCUGGGACACCCACUGGUACCAUGGACGCUGCCCUCCCUGAUAGUGAAAAUGUGCAAUGAUAUAUCUAUCUUUUAACUCUAAAGUGUUCCAUGUAUGAUUGUAUCUUAUAGGAAAAUGGGCUCCUAUUUUUUUGUAUUGUAUUGCAGUCGAAUGAAUUAGGGAGAUAUGGAAACCGAUAUUCUUGGAGAAAGAGUAAUGGUAUUUGUUUAGUUGAUUAAUGUGCCAAGGAUAUUUUUGUCCUUUUUUGUCUAAACAGUUGAACAGGUUCCGUGGAACAAUGUCUGUUUACCAGAACAAUAUUUCGAAGAAUAAAAUUGAUCUUAAACAGGUGCAAUACAAAGAUAUUGAUAAGCGAUACUUUGAUCAGUUAAUCCAGCUAAAGGUGGGACAUUUUGCUGACUGCUUGGAUGUGUUUUUUGUUACUCAUCCCAAUCUGUUGUUAACUUGGACAUCUUGUUACAGACUACUGAAAUGGCAAACAAGGACCUGGACAGAUACUACAAUGCACUUGACAAGUGAGCUUUUCCAAUUAAUUUUUAUAUUGCUUUUUGGUUCAUUUUGACACCUGUUUUUAUUAUCAGGGAUUGGUACAUACUAAAAUAAAAGCUAUAUAAUACAAUGCAUCUGAAAGUCACUUGUGUUGUUUGCUGGAUACUGUAUAAGAUAUCUGUGUACUGCAUUCAAAACUCUUCAAUUUGAUAUUAUAUAAGAUAUCCGCGUUUGAUGUUGGGCUGUUGGCUGCCCCUCACAAGUUCAUACAGCAGCUUUGAUCGUAUGUCAUCAUGACUUUUCUCAGUGCCUUGGUUCAAUCUUGUAUGGCUAUGUCUUGUGUUUAUAACAAUCACUACUUAAUGGUUUAUGAACUCUCACCGAGAAUUUUGCAGCACCACAAUAGCUUGCAAAUGCAUAUUUUACUUACCAAGGGAACAAAAAAAAAGUAGCAGAUGGCCAAAAAAAUUGGGGCUUCUAGGCUAGUGCUUUAUUUUAUUGCUCCUCCUUGAUCUGUGGCUCAUAAAAUUGUGCAUUGCUUCUUUAUUGAACAUGGUGUCUCUCUGUCUGUUUUAUUAUACUUGGAACUUGAUGGGAAUUGAACAUGGGAAUGCCUGUUACCCCUUAACUCCCGGACUCAACUCAACUGGUAUGUUUGUUAAAAAAAAAACUCAUCUGGUAUGUGGGUGAGAGGGCAUGCUUCGGAACAUUGCUCACUCUUUUCUGAUGUUAAAUCCUCUUUACCUUCAAUAGAAGAAUGCAUUCUACAUGGGAAAGGGACUUUUUUCAGCUAGUGUCUUCCUCUUUCUACUGACUAGAAUUAACUGUCACUGUGUUGUUAGGGCACUCAUGCGCUUCCACACAAUGAAAAUGGAGGAAAUUAAUAAAAUCAUUCGGGAAUUGUGGCAACAAACAUACAGAGGACAGGAUAUAGAUUAUAUUAGCAUACAUUCAGAUUCUGAAGGUGCUGGGACUCGUUCUUACAGCUACAAGGUAAAAAAGUAAAAACAACUCUAAAACUGUGCUUACUUCUUACAGUUAAUUUUUUUCUGCCCUAUGACUGCAUAUCAUUCUUCCAUUGCAUUCAAUGCAGGUUGUCAUGCAGACAGGUGACGCUGAGCUUGAAAUGAGAGGAAGGUGUAGUGCUGGUCAGAAGGUGAGUAAUAUUUGACUGCUAUUUCCCUUCAGUUUUUACAACGAGGGAAUUGAGAACUUAUGGUUCAUUCAUAGGUCCUUGCUUCACUUAUUAUUCGGUUGGCUUUAGCCGAGACAUUUUGCCUCCACUGUGGAAUACUAGCUCUAGAUGAACCUACAACAAACUUGGAUGGCCCAAAUGCUGAGAGUCUUGCUGCAGCUCUCCUUAGGUAAGAUCAGAAUAUGAAGUCCAUCAUAGGAUAACUAAUCACAUUUUCCCAUCAAACUGGGGGGGGAGCUUAUAGAAUUAUAAUGAGAUAUUGUAUUAACUAGUCUUCCUGUUUUUCAUUUUCUCCAGAAUCAUGGAGGAUAGGAAGGGCCAGGAGAAUUUUCAACUGAUUGUAAUUACUCAUGAUGAGCGAUUUGCUCAACUUAUCGGUCAGCGACAGCAUGCAGAAAGAUACUAUCGAGUUGCAAAAGAUGAUCAGUAUGGCUUUUCAAUUUUACUCUGUUGUCUUGUGUUACUGGGUCUGACCUGUUUUAGCUUUCCAUUUGUUAUUUAAUUUUAUCUCUUAGUAAUUUCUAUCAUUGAGACUGACUUCUCUUGCUCUCAUUUCAGUCAGCAUAGCAUAAUUGAAGCCCAAGAGAUUUUCGACUGACAUUUCAAAAUGAGGCAGAAACUCCCUUCAUCCCAUUGAAUGUUCUGUUUGAAACGGAAGCAAAACCCAGAAACCAGUUGUAUGUAAAACUAUUGUAAUUUUUAAUUUAAAUACCAUUGAUCUUCCUCACAAAUACGUUUUUUUUUCUUUUUUACUCCUGUUAUUGAAAGCUACAACAGCAAUCCGUCUUUAUCCUCCUGCCUUUGUCCAAUCAAUGGCUGGGCUGCGGCUUCUCUGAUAUCCAAGACGUUUUAAGACUUGAGCUGAAUGCGUGAUCCUAACUCCCUUUAUCCAGUGAUGUAGUGGAUUUUGAUACCAUCUUCUGAUAUAAUGCUGUUUUAUAACGUCAUCUGGCAUCACCUCACGCCCCCCUUCUAAUUAAACAUUCUGAUGAAACUAGCAGUCCCUACGGAUCCCUGCAUGAACUAGCAAUGGAAGCAUGAAGGAAAGUAAGUGAGGGCCUGAGAAUGUCGAGAUACCGUAUUUUGCAUAAUUGCUCAGUAAUCAGAAUCAAAAUGCAGCUAGAAACGAUGACAGAAAGCGAUGAACUUGUCUCCGACUCCGUCUCUACAAAAGGAAUGCUCUCGUUGUUGGAUGCCGGCCUACAAAUCCUUCAGUGUUUAUAGCAGCUGGCUGCAUCAAGGGGUCCAUCACUAGAUCAAUACAUGGUCAUUCUAACCAUUACCUACGUUUGAGGCCUUUGGUCUGACCCAGUUAGGGGGAAGAUACAAGAAGGAAUGUUGGAACAUGGCCCUUCGAUUUCCCAUAGGAGCACAUCUUCCAAAUAUAAUUGGCAGUAGUCAUGGUUGUUGAUUCAAAGACACAGGUAGCCAUUUCCAAUUGUUGCUAGCAUGAAAGCUUUAUAUAAAGCUAUAACUCAUUACUUUAUUGGUUGGACAAUCAAAUACAUCAUAAUAAUAGAACAGGCCAUUGAGAGGAUGGAACAUUAUCAGAACCCAAAUGACAUGACAUUCAUCCCAGCAUGACAAAAAGAACUCAUCCCACCAUGACCAAAAAGAAAAAAAAGAGAGAGAACCAGCAUAAAAGUGAAAUUAAAAUCAAAAGAAAAAUUGAAAGCUAACUACAAGACCAAGAACGGACGAUGAAGAAGCUUCUCUUUUCCGGGGAGGAGGGGGGGUUUGAAGUUUUCGAAGACCGGAAGCUAAUGAUAAUUGCAUACAAGCAAGACUUAAAUCCUUGUACUUCAUCUCAGACAUCAGAAACCCACCCAGGCACGACUGUCGAAGGAGCCUAAUCCUUGUACUUCAUCUCAGACAUCUGAAACCCAGGCAUGUCGAAGGAGCCAGAAAACUUUUCAACAUCAGCCUUGAGUGCCUCAAUGUCCUUGUUGUUCACCAGACCCUUGUUGAAGUCCUUCAAGAGCUUUCCAUAUUCCUUUUGGAUGCUCAGCGUGAUG
rnacentral:lncRNA from 1 species